UAUGGUGCUCUCGGCCGGCCGGUUUGACAGAGCAGAUUAAAUUAAGCUGUUGAGGAUUGCAAACCAGGCUAGCUAACGCUUGUGGAAUCGAGUCCGAUCGAUCCGGUAAUCAGUUCAGCAUGGUCUGAGUGGGGAGCAGGAUCUUGGAGUCGAAGGUGGCGGUGGAGUUGAGCAUCCAGGUGUAGAACGGGUGGAAGACGACGGACGCCGGGCAGCUCAGCGUCGCCGGCAGUUUGGGGCACUUGAUGAAGGUCUUGGCGUCCGUGUCCACGCAGAGGUAGACCUGGUACAGCUGCUUCUUGCCGAACGGCCCGUCCCGGCACUGCAGGCCCGGCUCGACGCCCAGCUUCGCGGCCACCGCCGCCUUGAUCCUCGCCGUGUUGUACAGCUUGUAGUCCGGCAGGAUGCCCUGGUCGGCGAGGGCGCCGAGGAUGUCGGCCUGCUUCCUGAGGCUGAGCGCCGCCUUGAAGUAGUCCAGCUGCUUGAGGCCUGAGCAGACGCCGUAGUUGUCCCAGGCGCUCUUCCACGCGUUCACGCCGUCGGUUGGCGGGCACUUGAGCCUGAUCCAGUAGUGGUUGAUGUUGUUCUCGAUCUUGUCCAGCUGAUCGUACGUGUUCCAUCAAUCGACGAUGCAUGGUGGUUGAUUAAUUAAGCAGGUUUAUUAAGUUUAACAUAUACUAGACAGAGAGUGAGUGUGUGUGAGAGAGGUGAGUUAAUUAAUUAACCUUUUUAGCAUCGAAGGGGCUGCCGUUCCUGCAACGGACUAUGGGCUUGUUAAUGGACACGUCGAAGGUUUGGAAGAACUCGACGAAGAAAUCCUCCGCCGGGUAGCCGUACUUGGGCACGCAGCAACCAUUGUCGCUGUCCUCGCAGUAUGCUCCAGGCCACUGUGCAUACACAGCAAUCCAUCCAUCGAUAGAUUUAGCUAGGCAGCUUGCAACUAAUGAUUUCACUGGCCUACGUAGGAUUUAGCUAGGAAGCUCUCCAUGAAGAUGACAUAUGAAGUCAACAAAUACCAGUUCUGUAAUGUAAAUUGAUUUAUCUAAUAACCACUUUGCGCUCGAGUGUGCACCCAAAUAUUACCGUUUGUACAAAAUGCCGUGUAAAACUAAAACUAUAUAAUAGGCUGUUUUGGGGCUAAUAUAUGAAAUCAGGUGGGGAACACCUCCUCCCGUUGACUUUCAAAAAAAAACAAUAGCAAAACGGAAAAACAACCCGAAUCGAGUCGAUUUUAACCUAUAUAAAUAGGGGUGUUGUAGUUGAAAAGAUAACUUUUGGCAAGAUAAUAAAAUGAAGAUUUUCUUUAAUUACCUACCCAUUAUUCACACAUUUGCCUUGUCUUUAUUUGGGUUUUCUAAUUUGAAUAAUCCGUUUGACGAUUGUCUUGAGGGAAAAAAAAUCAAUGGUAAUCUUUUCUGCAGGUUCUUUUGAUAUCUGUGAACGUACUCUCUUCGUCUCAAAAAUAAUCCAAUUUUAACAUUCAAAUAAGCUCAAAAAAACAUUGAGAUGUUGUAAAAAAAAUGUAAACUUUAGCUUACAAUUAAUUUAUUGGGUCAUCAACUCUUCGUAUGCUGUCAUAAAAAAGAGUGGUAUACAGUUGCAUGAUGACAACGAAGUUUAUGGAUACAAUAAUUUGUCUUGGUCAAUCCAACACACAGGGAGAGUAAAAAGAUUAGAGGCAACACACCAUUUUUAUAUUAAUCAAAAUAGCUAGUCUGCAACUUAUUACUUUUGUUGUACAUUACACGGUUCUACAGUAGAACAAACAAAUCCAAAAAUGACAAUUUAGCUUCAUAUAAAUGCACUUUGAAAUGUAGCAUCAGGCACGCGAGUGUGCUUAGACCUUGUAAUGGAAGAGAAAUAUUACAUAGACAAAAAAUAAUAAUUGUAAUUUUGUGAUUGCAGAUAAUGAUUCAGUCAAGAAAAGUAAACUGUCUACGAUCAUCAGAUUUAGCAAUAUAUGUUAGUAGACUGUUAAUCUUGUGCACGAGAUUAAGCAUUUGAAAAGGUUCAUACCAUGAGGAUAAGGUAAAAGAAAUCAAAGGGCACCGCAUUGGCAGCUGCCAGUAAGCCAAGGAUUAGGCUCAACACGAUCGUUCUGCGGCCUCCCAUCUCUGCUAUUUUGGCAACGGUUAAAGGCUGUUUGCUGCUGGCUGCCUGUUCAAGCGAUCCUGUAGGUGGUAUUUAUAGUGAGGAGGUCGAUUAUCAUGGGCGGAGCAGAUGAGCAACAUCCUCCAUACAAGUCGACCUCAAAUGAGUAACGGCCCGCCAAUAAUUUUUCUCUGUUUAAUCAUAUAUACUUUUGCUUGAAUAUUUGGUUAAUUUGUUCAAUAAGAUCGCAAAAACUGUUUGUCCUAACCUCUAGCAUAGUCCUAGGAUGAUAGAGGUUGUAAAGAAUCAUGUGUCCAUAUUUACGAUCAUAUAUGGUUUUGUAGUGAUUUAGAUGACAACACGAGCACUACAACUAGGUUAUGUGUUAGACAUGCUGUAAUAGGUUCUAGGGAUGCAAUAGAAGAAGUGGUGUAAAGACUGACAAAAAAAUAUAGUUAAAAUCACGAAGUGUGUAAAGUUUGCAAGUGUUGGAAGGUCCAACGACAAGGAAUUAAUAUCUAGCGGAUAAUUAAAUGCCAUCUAAUCCAGUGGUGUUCUACACUAUGCAAUUGAGAGCACCAUAUGACCCAACAAAAUUACGACAGCAAGGACAAACUACGGCCUAAUAGUGAAUAGUGCUAUAGACCUUAGGGUAAUAUUCUCUACACAAAGCACAAGACAAUGAAUAGUACACAUAGUUAGGUCUUUGCUAACCCAAUUCACCACUUCCCUUGGUUGCCACUCAAGUCCAUUAUUGGUAUGAAUACCCUCUCAUCAUUUUUAUAGAAGGUAUCAAAAGUAUAACUGUCAAACUUGGAGGGUUGCGUGGCUGGGUUCUAUUAUAAAAAAACCUAGAGGGUUGGGUAUAACACCCCCUUUCGUUAGCCUUGCUAUUGUUCUAAACUUAAAACUACUCCUUGCAUCCCAAGUUCAUCUAACCCACUCAAGAAUUGGCUAAGGAUAUGAGAAGAUAUUGAAAUAUCGAGUGCUUUUGAGCUUCGUUCCCACAUUUUUCUUCAUCAAGCCAAGUUUUCAACAUGUUUGUUACUCUUGGAUAUCUCUCUAAGGUUUGCGCGUGAGAACCCAAGCUUAUGGAGUGCCAUCAGACUUUUGUAGUUGAAUCUUGAGAUGUGGUAGGUGGACCGAUCUGUGCGGAUCCAAGAUUCCCGUUGCCGCAAGUGUAACAAGAAGGAGGGGGGAGAUGAGGCGCAUCGGGUUUCGGCUUGGUUUUCUUUGACCUCAUUUGAAAUAGUAUCUUUUUUGAAGGCAAAAACUGUGGGGGAAAUCCCCACAACACUUCAUUUUAAAAAUUUUGUAAAAAAGAGCACAAACAUACAACAAGAAUUUAACUAAAUGCAUCUAGCCAAAAACAAAAGGCUGAUCUAAGAUCAUCCUUGAACCGAAGGGAUUGAAAGAGGCACUGGUUUUUGAAAUUUCUGAACCAAAUGUCAAUGUGGACUGGUCCAUUAUUGAACACUUUAUCAUUUCUUAGCUUCCAUAUCUCCCAGGAGGCAAUGACCACUACUUCCAUAAAGAACGGGAUGUUUUGCUGUUGUCUCGCGUGUGCCAGCCUGGGGGUACAAACUGAGGCGCGUGUUCCACUGCAUACCAAUCUUAUCCCAACAACUCUUAUAGAAAGGACAGUCAAAGAAUAGGUGCAUGUUAUCUAGAGGACUAAAGAUCGUUUUCUUAGGGUAGUAAUCGAUGGAUAGAACAAUUGAGCAACUCAUCAUGUAAGUCAAUAUGUUUCCUUGUAACUGAUUAGGAACCUGAGUGUAAACUGAAUAGGAUCUGUAACCCUACUUUUCAUACUAUAAUAUAUAAGGUAGGGAGCCCUCAAUUGAUAUCAAGACAAUCUAGGCUUUCAUAGCUAGACAAGCACAUCAACACCCGUGUAAUUCUUAAGCAUACAAGAUAAGAGAUUGAUUCUUCCAUUUUAAGUUAUAAUUAUAAGUCAUUCUCGAUUUUCUAGGAACAUAAAUGUUAUAUAUUUGAAUAUAGUCAUUAAAAAAUAAUUAAAAAAGAUGGAACGACUUACUAUUUAGAAGGGAUAAGAGGAGUACAAUACAAUGCUCUAUCGGUCAACUCAUCGGAUUGUAUUGUAUCAAACCUAUGCAGCCUUGUGAAAAAUAUAUUUAUUAUGAAAAAUAUAUUUUAUAAUAUAUUUAAUGACCAGCAUAAAUUUUUGUAUUUUUUAUAAGUUUAGUCGGACAAAAAAAUGACAUAAGGUCUCUAGGAUUUAUUUAUUUAUUAUUUUUUUAGAGAAAAAUUUAUUUAUUUAUUAGAUAGACAAUGGACCCGAUCUCGCGGCCAGAGGGCCGGCCCACUGAUCGACGCAGACGACAGGGAUAAGGUGUUACAAUCAGACGGGCCCAACCCGUCGCAUGCAUUGUGCGUCGUCGACUCGUCGUAUAUAUAUAUACGGGACGAGGAUAUUCGGCAACGUGCUACAAUGCACGUGAUAUAAUACGCGCGUCUCGAUCUGGUCGGCACGUAACGCCAGCGUACGUCUCCAUGCGUGUAUACGUACACAAGUGGCCGAACGAAAAGAGCGCGGACAAACCGGACAUCAUCGUCUCACUGUGUGGUUCCUACUAGCUAGCCUAUAUAUCUAGCACGUGUAGCUAUACCACACCACCGUAUCCGUAUGAGACGAGGCAUUUCGUCAUUCGAGUCUCCUCGUCGAUAAUUAACGUGCGUGUCGUCGUUGUCGUCCUGAUCUGCUCUCCAAUUGUGCGGAGGGAGGAGCGCGCAGCGAGCUCUGCUGCAUGCAAGUGCACACGAGACACGAGCCUUUUUUUUUUUUUUCUUUUUUGACUACACGAGACGAGACACGAGCUAGCAGGGGGCCGGGCCGCGCCGGAGAGGACAUCAGGGUCAGGCACGCGAUCGAUCGAGACAAGAGGACACGAGAGGACCAGCUGGUUAUAGCACAAGCAGCUAGCUAGCUAGGGCGUGAAACGAUAAUGAAAGGUGCGUCCGUGGACGCGCACGAUCGACUCGUCGCAGCUAGCAUGCAUAUGCGUCGACGACGACGCGGCGGCGCCCGGCCCACCCGCAUGCAUCUGACAAAUUAUACUCGACGCUGUGCAACAGCAACCCUGUCAGUAGCGGAAGGGGGAGGACAAUAAUAAUUCAGUCUGCGUACGUACGUGGGCGUGGGCGUGGGCACGGCUGGGCACGCCCAACGAUCGAUCGUCCUGCGACCGGCCGGCCAGCCACGCACGUCGAUCGGAUCGAUCGGCCGGAGUCGGUCUCUAGCUAGGAUAUCGCCGCCGAACAAGGUGACAAGCCAUGCCACGACGCAUAGUACGGUUUCUCGAUCAGUACACGCUGUUUGGACUGUUUACAUAAUUCUAGCAAUAUAUGCUCGCGUCUUAUAUAUUGAAGAAAGAAUCAAAAUUUCUUUCUUUCAUUCAUUUUUCACUCUUGGCCGUCCAUCACCUCACUUCUAUCCUUUUUCCAUGUUCGUUCAUCCCUCAUCCCUGCCUUUGGUCAUCGUCUCUCACUCUUAGGCCUUGUUUAGUUCUCAAAAAAUUUUGCAAAAUUUUUCAGAUUCUCCGUCACAUCGAAUCUUUAGACGCAUACAUGGAGUAUUAAAUAUAGACGAAAAUAAAAACUAAUUGCAUAACUUGGUCGGAAUUGACGAGACGAAUCUUUUAAGCCUAGUUAGUCCAUGAUUGGACAAUAUUUGUCAAAUACAAACGAAAGUGCUAUAGUGCCUGUUUUGCAAAAUUUUUUGGAACUAAACAAGGCCUUACUCGUCAUGCUUUGAGUUUGCAAUUGCAAAGCAUUUGUUGCCAUGCUACUCAUGCAAUAGCCAAGUCAUUUGAGCCCGUUCGCGCCAUGACAGUGAAAAGGCUUUCAAUUAUGGAACCUCCAUAUUACUUCAACCAUAAAACUAUAAGACAGUUUUUGUAACACCAAAGCAUUUUAAUCCACAUAGAACUAGCCGGUGCGCGUACACUUCUUGUGCCCUUUCCAAACAUAAUUCUAAGUUGAUUCAUCACUACUUUAAACAUCUGUUUCACAUUGUGAAGCUCAUCGAUCGUCUCAUUGCCAUCAAAGGAUUUCUUGUUUCAGCGGGACUCACAUAACUCAUCUUCUUGCACUAUAUAUGACACACAAUAUUUUCCAAAACCAUCUCAAAUGAAAAACUCUUGUUGAGCACUUGUGUCUCCAUAUGAGGCCACCUGAAAAAUUCUAAAUUUGAAUUAUAAGAUCUAAGAACUUAAAACUUAUAUUUGGAUUCUUAAAUGAUUUCAAAUAUAAAAAUCAUCAAUGACAUAGUUUUAGGUCAUGUCAACUACAUAGUUUUAGAUUUGCAAUUUUAAAGUUUGUCUUCAUUCAACCUCAUAUGAAAAAAAUAAAAGAAUAAAAGAGAGCAAAGAGACAACCAAUUUUUUCGUGCGGUAUCGGGUAGUUGCCACUACCCCCUAAUUCGCAUUGGAGCACCAAUGAGUCGCAAAGACUCGAUUACGCUCCCUUAAGUCAUGAAGUUUAAGUCUUCACUAGUCAAUACCCAUUCUACUCUCCGGAUUGCCAGGUUUCAAACUGAGCAAACCAAUAGGAGCCUUCCCACAAGGUCACUUAGUCCUUCAUUGGGACAUCUAGGUGUUCACCAAGAGUAACAAACCUUUAGUAGCACCUUAAUGAAAACCAAGCCAAGAACACUAAGUACACUCUCGCAGCUUGCAAUAUUGACUUGGAUGGCUCCCAAAUCCUUCAUAAACUCCCUCUAUACGUGUGCCGCACCUGGGGGCUAGGGUGAAAGAGCAUCACAAAAAUAAUUUAGAGAAUGCACACAUAUAAGGUGUGAAGGCCCAGUUGGAUGAUCCAUUGUGCUCUAUCCAGGUGCACUAGAUCAUAUGGUGAUCCUAUAUGGGUAAGUUUCCUAACAGUCACGAGGAAUAUGCCAAAAUAUGCCUCAUCAAAUGACCCACUGUGGGUUAGAUCGACACCAUUGGAUCAUACAAUUUGGCUACUUGACACAUAACCGAUGUUCACCAUCAUCGGAUUAACCUUGACCUUUUGUGAGAGGCGGAUCACUUGCCCACCUCGGUUAAAAUUACAGUAGUAGGAUCCACGGGCGCACCAGAUCAUAUGGUGAAACAUAGUACCUUGUCAUAAAUCUACUUCUACUCAGGUACUAUACCCCCUUAUUCCUUAUCAUCGAUUGUUUUGGCUGGCCAGCAAUUAGGAUUGCCCUAUUAAUUAAAUUACCCAUGGAAAAUUUAGAUUAACUUACUUACUAGUGUAACUAUAUAUUAUAUCAUGUAGGUACCAUACUAAGAGUCUAAUAUUUGUGUAGGUUUUCUCUCUUUUUUUAACUAGCAAACAUAUAUUUGUGUUGCAACAAGAUCUUCAACUUGUUGCGUGGCUGCUGAGACAACUUGUGGCUUCGAGAUAGCCAUAUGUUUCCAUUCAUCUAGGAAUUGAACUCCGACUUCGUACUAUGUUUGCACGUGUUGCUCUAACUGGUAUGAGUACGAGAGGUUAGAGAUUUAUUGAGAUCCAUCAUGUCACGUGUUUUAUUUCGUCUUGGGAUCAAACUCACACCACGCCCGAACACUUGACUUGUGUAUGGACAUGUGAGAGAGUGGUGGACCAUGGAAACAAUUUGUAUUUCAAUUCUUUUGGAAUUGGACUAAUACACUUCUCUUACUCGUAUUACACUACUCUUACAUGUAUAGGCACAGGAGAGCGACAUUGAUUCCAUGGAUCCCCAACGAAUGAUUAUGAACAAAGAAACAUUUCGCUCUUUAAUAUUAGGAAAUAGAAAUAGAAUAGACGAUUGGAAAGGCCACCGGGUAGCUCUCAAGGUUUAUUUCCUUAAUAUACAGGUGGAAAAAAGGUCGAAUAAACAAAGCCGCCACACUUAUUCGCUGGGCAUCACCGUGCAUUGCCCAGAUCGAGCGAGUGAGGAUCAAGGCAGAAAACAUUAUUAUUCCAUACGCACGUCACUGAACGCACGCAAAAACUGACGAAAUUAAAGACGAGCUAGGUAGAUCAUGGAUGAUGGAUCGUCGGCGGGCGGUGGCUCGAUCCGGCAACGACGAAACGCAAACUCACGAAAAUGCAGAGGGAUCGACGAUCGCAUCAGAGAUCAGUUGUCCAUGGCGAGGCCAGGCAGCACGAAAGGGUCGGCUGAAUCGUAGAAGUCGGCGGACUCGUCGCUGAGCUGCUGCUUGAGCAUCCACUUCUUGUAGGGGUGGAAGAGGACGGAAUUGGAGCAGGUGUACUUGGCCGGCGCGGGGCAGUCGAUGAACGUCCCGUUGCCGUUCGCGCAGAAGUAGAGCUGGUACAGCAUGUACUUGUCGAAGGGCCCCUUGCUGCACUGGAUCACCGGCUCCGCGUUGAUCCCGCUCUUGAACACCUUCUUGAUCGCCUUCAACCCGUAGAGCUCGAAGUCAUCCUCGAUACCUGCAGCAAAAGAUCCAUGCAUAUAUAUGGGCCAGCAUCAGCUCUCGUAACAUAGAUACAGCAAGCUACUCAGCUCUGAAUCCGUUCACUUUAUAAGCCGCAAAUAAAUCAGCGAACAAUGCUUUUAGCCAUGACUUUAUUUAAACAAGCGAACAUGCUCAGUUUACCAUUUUGUUUUAGGCGAACGAGGGGGUUGAUCUUGCUACGGAAGGAGAGGGCCUUCUCGAAGUAGGCUUUCUCGUCGAGGCCGGAGCAGGCGCCGGCCUUCUUCCAGGCGUUCUUCCAGCUUCUCUGGCCGUUGUUGGCGGGGCACUUGAUGUUGAUCCAGUACUGCUCCAGGCCGAUGCCGGUAAUCUGUCGAGAUGGACAUUGCACACAGACACACACACACAUUAAAGGUACUACGGUGUCACACCUACGACGACAACACUAGAUGUGCAUAUAUAUGGCGAUCGAGCUGGAGCGAGAGUCUACGGACGUACCAGGUUAGGGUUGUAAGGAGCUUGAUUGCUGCAUUCCGUCAGUGCAGCGUUGGUGGUCGCGUUGUAGACGGUGAGGCCCGUUAUGUAGAAGUCGCGCGCCGGCGAGACGCCGGUCGUCGGCUUGCAGCAUCCAGCGUUGGUCUGCUCGCAGUAUGCUCCUGGCCACUGCGUGCGUGCGUACGUCCAUGAUCGAGCACACCAUCCAUGCGCAAAAUAGAGUUGAUCAGGGAAUUACGUUCAGCCAUUUUAUUAACGAAAACUAAAACAAAAUAAAAAAAAAAUAAAACAAGUUCCUGCAAGAUUGUACAGUGUGUCGUUCUCUCCUCGUACAUACGUCCAUGCCUAUAUAUAUGUGUGAUGACAAGGCCAGUGCGAUAAUUUGCCUCUCACCAAUCAAAUUAUCGUCCAAAACUCAGGAAAAACGGGCCAGUGGUCCAUGAGAAAUCUGCUUAUGGGUUCCACAUGUAUCGUCGUCUCCGGAGUUGUUCAUUUCACUUGUUAUUGUAUAUAGACUCAUGCAUAUUACAUAUUACAUUUUGAUCUGCAGAUUAAUUAAUAAUGAGAACGACAUCCGUGCACAUAUCCAUAAUCCAUGCAGGGUUUAGCCUUCUAUAAUAGUUAGCAGGACACACAAAUUUUAGGAUCAUAUAUAGGUUCUUGCCUGUUUUUUUCAUGCCAUUAUAACUGAAUUAACCUGAUAUAUAGUAAGACCUAUAUAUCUCAAUUAAUGAUACUAACAGUAGCUAGUACAAAAUACACAUAGUGACUGAAGGAAAUAGCUAAGCUCCCCGUGCGUACCAGAAGAGCAAGCUGGUAGUAGAUACCGGAGGAGUCAUCAGCAAUUGCGGGAGAAGCUACUAGCAGCAAGCCAAGGAGGCACAGGAGUGGGAUCCUGGAGGAAGCCAUAUGGAAAUGGAAUGCACCCCGGCCCUCGCUAGCUCUCACGAGACGAGCGCGACUCGCGAUCUACCACGAAUGGCACCGAUGAGCAUGGCCUCCAUCGCGUGGCUACUUAUAGGCAGACGAGAGCGCGUCCGCACCACAUUUUAUCUCUAUUCUACACCUAAAAAAUAAUACAAAAGAGGCCGGCCGCGCCGGUAUCGUCGGCUCACCCUGCUCAGCUCGUCCCUGGAUUUUUUUUACUCAACUCCACGAAAUCAGAAUCAGAUAUCAAAUCAAAUCGUUCUAAAUCUGAAUAAAAAAAAAGAAAAUAUCGAACUCAAUCAAAUAAAAACUGAAAAUGUAAUACAAGUCUGGUGCUGCAGCUAAACUUGAACUCGACCUUGCAUCGCAUGCGCGAGGGCUCGUGGACCACCAGACUUGGCUUACCUUAUAAAUAAAUUAUAUUAGGCUUGCUCUAAAACCUGCUCUCGCACAUGAUCCGAUCCGGUCGCAAACCCGAGACCUGUGGGGCAAAAAAACACUCUGUAGGCCUUGUUUGGAUGUAGUCGGAUUCGUAUCAAUCCACAUGUGUUGGGGUGGAUUGGAGUGGAACUUCAGCUAAAUUCCACCCAAAUCCACACCAACACACGUGGAUUGAGGUAAAUCCGACAACAUCCAAACAAGACCGUAUGAUUGAGAGAACCCAUGCAGUACUUAGCAGUCAAUUGUGCCUUGUCGUUAUCAAUGUGAAGCAGACCUAUUUUGUGUAUGGUUGGAGGAAUGUGGAGACAGCUUUAUAUUUUCUAUAUAACUAGAUUUAUAGAUUUCUUCAUAUGUUUAUCAAGCAUAAGGUGUGUUCAUGUAGUUGUACGUAAAAAUUCGUUAUCUCCGCGCUUCACUAAUAUUUGUGGGCUCUACGUGUUGUGCUCCUCUCUCAUCCAUUGCAAUAAUAUAAGUGCAAGCAUGUGGUACAGUACAAUGGUUGAUGAAAAUAAUCAUCCAUUGCAAACAUUUAGUUUUGGAGAGAACCCCACAGCAAAUUUAACGUGGGUAUACAGUAUUCCGGCAUCUACAUGAGUUAUAUAUUGAUCACUCAACCAAUUAAUCCUAGCUUAUUAUUAUGCCUUCACCAGUGGCCUUCUCAGAACUCAGAUCGAUCUUGUGAUGCAUGAGUUGUCAGCUGAGGAAACGAUGCCUUACAUCGCAGGGCAAUCGAACCAUGCAUGCAUGCUCUUUAGUCUUUAGGCACGAACCCAAUCCAAUUAAACUAGGAUAAGGUGCAUAUAUACUCAUUAAACAACCAGUGUACAAGGAAAUGUUAUUUACCAGAGGGCUGCACGAAUUCUUUUAUCAAGAGAGAGGAUAAUUUUUAUCUGGCCUAGGCCCUGCACAAGCGUUUGAUAUAUAUGUUGAAAAAAAAGGGAGAGGCAAUAACCAAAUCCAUCCUAUUCGGUAGACUUUUUGCCAUACAUCAAAGUAUCGAACCCACACCUCUGGAGAAGGUCUUACACCUCUAGUCAACAGGUGACGAAUAAAAGCUCUUAGAAAGCUCUCAAAACACAAACCAAGCAAGCCACCAAUUAUACUAAAGCAUUCUUUUUGAAACACUAUUGUGCAUUUUGAGUGAUGGGAGGCUAUUCUUGCAUAUGUAUUGUGUCUUUUAAUUUACAUGAGAUAUCACUACUACAAAAUUGUAUUUCUCAUCGAAAUUUACAACUUUGGCAUUGGUCGUUUCAUCAUCCGAGAUUGUUUAACAUUUGAAUUUCAAAACGCGUUAUACUUUUAGGACCUUAAAUAAUUUUAAAUAAGAAAAAUUAUCAACUACAAAGUUAUUAUCAUCGAGUAUACAAUUUUGGUUUUGGUCAAUUUUCCGUUUGAGGACGUUUGAAUUUUUUCUGAAAAUUUCAUAAUGUUAAAACUCCAAAUAUAAAUUUGGGACCACAAUAAUUUCUAAUAAAAAAGUGGGUUAACUACAAAGCUGUAAAUCUCAUCACUUUUUCAUCUGAGGCCGUUUGGACAAUUCGAAAAAUCUGAAUUUUGAUAAAUGUGAACUUCAGACAAUAUUUUGGGACUAUAAAUGGUUUAAAAUUGAAAAUUCAACAAGUAGAAGUUGUAGACCUUAUCGAAACUUACAACUCUAAUAUGAAGUUCGUUUCCAUCCAACUCAAUCUGAGAAAAAUAUUAGUUUUAUUAUACUGCAACAUAUAGUCAUCACCGCUAACACAUAAGCCAAACGGCAAAAAUGAUUUCAUCAUCAGAAAGUAACCCAGAUCAACAAUGAUGAUGGACUAUCUCCAGCGGUUUGUAACACGAACCGCUAAUGAUAAUUGUCUCCAUUUUCACUAACUGUUCGUAAUACGAACCAAUGGCUAACGGUUCAUAACAACACGAACCGGCAGCCAAAACGGCUUAGAGCAAACCGACGAUAAAAUUAGCGGUGGUGACGAUAAAUUAUGCAGUGGUGGAUGAUCGACCUUAAUUUUGAUCUCCUAGAAACAAUUUCAGUCAGUGCCGAGCUGCUCGGAUUAUUGCUACUGCGUCUAAAGAUACUUCCACAGAAGCCGCCAUUCGUUUGAGCACGUUAUUCAUUGCUGUGUACAUGCAGCAAGCAGCUAGGGCAUGAGUGCGACGCCUACCUUGUGAGCCACUCGUCUCGCGUUCGAUUGGAUAGCCAUAGCCUUGCACCGUGCACGUCUACCGCAGGCACACGACCGCACUGAGUAUGACCACACCAGCACCCCACCACCCCCCUGUAGUAUAUAUAGCCACGUGUUUAGUUCACGAAAAAAAAUUGCUAUGGUAUAUAUAGCCAUGUUUAGUUUGUCAAAUAAAAUUUUUUAUAUAUCACAUUGGAUAUAUCCAAAAAUAUUUAGAAGGGAUUUUUUAUACUAAUAAAAAAAGAAUUAAUUAGAUUUAGAAGAUUCGUCUUAUAAUUUAUAAUUAAAAAAUAUAAUUAGUUUUUUUUGUCUGUCUUUAAUGUUUCAUAUAUGUGUCAAAGAUUUUAUAAGACGGGCGUAAAGUUUUUAGUUAAAAAACUAAACUGAGUCCGACGAAAAGGACGUAGGAGUACGUAUUUUGCAGUACGACGCGACGUGAGGCGUGGCACCUACCGACCGGGCCACCCAAUAGACGUGGGCGAAACGACAUGUAGCCCAACAGCCUCGAUGGAUCGUUCUGCCAGGCCCACGUGCACGUCCACGUUGUGAAUGAUGAAGGAAUCCUCCCACAAUCGUCACUCGUGAGUCGGGACUCGUCAGCUUGGACCGUGAGGCUCACGUUACUGCAGCCCUGUUAUCUCCUAGCGGAAAGGAGAAUGAGGCAGAAAAAUGAAAAAUAAAAUUCAAAUGCUUUGAUUUCUCACUAUAUAAAGUUAAUAUUUUUUCUCGAAUAAUAUAAAGUCAAUAAUCUAAUUGAGAAUAAGAUUCAAACAUUCUUCAUGUUUUUUAUCUAUAUAGUCCAUAUUCUAAAUUACUAUCUAAAAUCAUUAUUAGAAUUUGAUCCAAACAAUGUCUAAGUUUGGGCCGCUCACCCUUUUGUUCAUGUGCAACUCCGUGGCUUUGUUAAGCAUGCCGGGGAGGGCCAGAGGGGGACACACUUUCUACCUUGCGAGCAUUCAGUUUCACUUUCACACCACGUACAAUGCAAAAGGCGCUUAGAUAGAAAGAGAAAAAUACUUUUGUAACUAAGCGUUUCUUUAUAACCUUAAUCUACAACGCAACACGUAUUUGAAGGCGCUUAAGUUCCGACUGUUACGUUGCAUGCAAACACCAGUAUCGGAGCCGGUCCAGGCGUUGAUGCUUCACGGAGUGGUGAAUCUAUUUUUAAGCGCCCGCUCAGGACUCCACCGUGGCAAAAAAAGCUAUUUAACGGCCAAUACCUGAUCAUAAGCGCCCAGCGUUGUACAAGCCCUAACUCGAAUAUCUUACCUCAUACCUCCACAACUUUGAAAUCAUUUAAAUUAGGUAUCUAGGUUUGAAAUAGUUGUAAUGUGGUUUCAUAAUUUUGAAGUUAAAAAUCCGAUAAAGUCCUGAUACGAUUUUUAAACCUAAAAAAACACAAGGCUUCUAAGAAAAUUGUAAAGAUAAAUCGAAACACAAGACACUGAUACAAAAUAUGUAGAGCUUAUGAAUAUAUAUAUAUAUAUAUAUAUAUAUAUAUAUAUAUAUGACACAUUUCUUCUACUCGUGCGUGUAUGUACUCGUACCUGCGAGUACAUGCACGGGAGAGUCGUCCAACCAGUUCUGAAACAAGAAACGUCGGAUAGGAAACGGAGAGGGUGCGGCCCGCCGUUAAGCUCUCGUAACGGGUUUGGGUAGAACCCAAUUGUUUUUGUCGUUUGCAAGCACAAAGUAUUCCACAUGCACGCGUAUAUAUGGGUACUUGUUGGUAUACACGUGAAUAUUAUUUAUUAAUUAUCUGAGAUGCAUCUGGUCGGAUAACUAUAUAUUAAUUAGCGGAGACCAUAUAUAUAGACAUAUUUGGACAUGUAUAUAUAUAUAUAUGUUAGUACAUGUACAUACUUCUAAGAUGGUUGAGUAUAUAUACAUAUACUUUUCUUCGUAUAAGAGAGUAUGCGUAUAUACCAUUUUACUAUUUUGACAAAUACAUACUACUUUUUGGUACGCACGUACGGUGUGCAAGACUGCAUACUUUUUUUAAUUUAUUUAUGAUUAUAUAUAUGGUGUGUUGUUUAUUGGUAGUACGUAUGAAUAUAUACUGCUUUGAAAGUAUGAGUGGAUACAUUCUUUUUUUUAAAAAAAUGAGUAUAUCUGCAUACUGCUUUUGAAUGUAAGAAUAGAUACUUUUUAUGAUAAAAAUGAGUAUAUUUGCAUACAUGUGCUAUAAGAAAAGUAUAUGCUAGUACUAUGUGUUUUUACUUUUGUUGAUAAAUGAGUAUAUGUAUAUACCUUUUCGACAUACAUUAUUGAUGAAAUGUGUACGUGGUAAUAUUGAGUACAAACAUGCAAGGAAUGUAACUGUAUGCUACUAUUGAGUAUCUAACAAAAGGAAAAUAUAAUAUUUUACUAGAACUCGAUCUAAUCUAAAAGUAUCGAGUGACACUGCUACAAAUAAUUAUGUGGAGUAAAUCAUGCUCUGUCAUCCUGUCCGGCAUUCUCUCGAAGCAUCAAACACCUUGAAAUAUUUAUCUGUCUGAGAAGUAAUGUUACAUUUACGAAUAAGAUUUAUCUGUCUGAAAGUAAUGUUACAUUCACGAAUCUAGGUAUCAGGUGAUACUCUAAUCUAAAAACAGUAUAUUUGCCAAGUGAUCUUCUCCAGGUAGAACUAUAGCCUAGAACGGAAUAGAUAAAAUCAUAUCCAUGAGUUCUGACGCAAGGGAAAAAACAAUAUUACAAACCGGUAAUAUGCAUAUUUGUCGACGACAAGUAUGAGAAGCAAAGCCCGCCGCCACCAGAACUUUAGAAGGGACAUAAACGCCUCAAUGCGAUAACAGCUAGAUUAAUGGAAUCAACUGUGCCGGAUCUACAAGCUGCAAAGGGAUUUGAUUGGAAUAAACAAAUCGAUAAUAACAGGAUAGAUUAGGACUCUCAACCAAACCUGGAUCUGUGUUCUUCACGAUUUUCCUGGUCGCCGCCGCUAGGGGAUGUCAUAGUCGGCUUGUUGUUGGGUGGGCCUCUCGACCAUGGGGGGCCAUCACCAUUGGGCGGGCUACGCCGGCGUCGUCCGUGCUGGUUGAGAGGAUGGAGGAGGGAGACGGCUCCAGGAGCGACCUUGGCGGUGGCGAAGCAAGAAAGCAUGAGGACGGCGGUGACAAAAUCCGCUAAUUUCGGAUCUCCCGAUGGCUGAGCGGCGACGGGGCUGGAUGAUGACCGUAUAUACAUAUGUUCCUAAUGGGUAACGACGGUGUGAUCCAAUAAGCAUGGAUGUCAUCGACCCGUUAGCUCCAGACGGCGUGCAUCGCGUCGUGGACUAACAAGCCGGAGUAGAUAUACGUGUAGAAGGGAAAUUCCCUAUAUAUAUAUAUAUAUAUAUAUAUAUAUAUAUAUAUAUAUAUAUAUAUAUAUAUAUAUAUAUAUAUAUAUAUAUAUAUAUAUAUAUAUAUAUAUAUGGAGAAUCUUUCACGAAAUUAUAUUAUCAUUGGCACUUACACUACACCCCUAUGAAGUGAUGGUAUCCGUGACACUUUGUGACACACCCAUGUGGGCCAGGGAUGGACCAAACUCAAUUCUUGGGAUACAGUUGAUUACUCGUUAGGUUUUGUAGAAAUUAAGUAUAUAUAGUGUAUGUUUCGUACCAUUAUCUAAAAACAUUCUAUAAUUUGUAUAUUCGUGGGGGAAAAAAGUUUGCUAGCCUAGUAGAUUUCUUUCCUCCAUCGCCUUAGCCCAUCAAUCCAUCAUUUUUAAAAGGCCCCCAUCUGCAUACUGCAAAGCAACAUUUUUGGCUGAGUUGGUCAAAUCCUUAGAGCAUCUCCAACAGUUUUAUAAACUACUCCUACUUGCUAUAAUUUAGCAAGUUGCUAUUUUCGGCCUCCGCACGCGCAUUUAUCCGUGCGUGUAUCCCUCGCGCAUCCGCCGCACAGGGGCUGUGCAGCUGCUGCUGCCGCUGUUGUUCUGCUGCUCUGGCUGCUGCUGUUAUGCUGCUCUGCCGCUCCUGUGUUGCCAUGAUGCCAUGACCUGCAUGCGUUGAUGCAGUGCUUCGUGUGCUCGGUCUAUUGAUGUGACUCUUGACGGUGCUUCCCAUCAUGCUGGUUGCAGCACCUGUGCUUCCCAUCAUGGGUCAUGUAUCCACCAUGCAUCAUGCAUAUAUGCUUCAUCAUGCAUCAUGACCCAUCAUGAUGUGAGCAGGAGCAAUAUUUCAUCAUGCAUCAUGUACCGUACUCUGAUUCAUAAAAUAUAAAUCCAAUGGACAGACCCAUAUACAGAUGGAUCCAGUAGAAUAUGAGCCUACUUUUUAAAUUUUACCAAGUUAAAAUAGCAAACUAUUGGAGAUACUCUACUUUUUCACUUGGUAUAUGUUUUAGCAAGUUGCCAAAUCACAAGAUUUACCAAGUGGAUUUUAGCAAACUAUUGGAGACGCUCUAAGAGACUCAAGCAAAUUGUUGAAAUGGUCAUGGUCGUGAUUGUUCAUCAAUUAACUUUCAUAAUAAAACAAUAUAGUGAGCAUCAAUUACAAGAAAGCCAUAUAUGUCAUUGUGUCUAGAUUGGUUUGCAUUUUUUAAUUCUAAAACAUGAAGGGGUUUCACUUUGAAAUUCUAAAUAUCCAUUUUCGAAAUAUUGGACCCACUCCUAAUAUUGAGUAGUAUGAUAGAUGAUGACAUGGCAAACCAAAUCUCGUGACACCAAUGAUCGUGAUGACGCCAUACUAUGAAGGUAGCCACUGUGGGCAUGCAAAGGCACAUGCAUCCACAACGAGAUAUUAUAUGCGCUAAGGAUUAAGCAGUGGAUGCGUCAUGCAACUAAUGAAGCAUCUUAAGGUACAGUCUCAUAGACAGUUAGAUAUUGCUCGAAGGGCAUCCAUCUAAUGUGACAUGAGAAGUUUGUCAAGGCUUGGAUCUUGGCUUUGUAGGGGAAAUAUCAAACUAGUGAAGCGAGAAAACCAAAUAAAAGAUAUCCAUCUUGUUUUGAAAAAUAUCAAUGGAAACGUAGGAAACUAUGGUGAACUAGAAUUCUAGAUGGACAAAUAUUUGUAUCUCCACUUUGUUUUGCUCUCUCAUUAGUUCUUACUUUUGAUCCAUGUUUCCCACUCGAUCUAAUUGGUUAUAUGUAUUUCUAAGUGUAUAUGAUUUUCAACUAUUAAUUGACUCAUCAAGCUCAUCUCCAUGUUCGGUUGAGCUAGCUAAGUUUAUUCUAUUUUCUGAAACUAGUCACGACACCAUGCUUAGGGAUAGAAAGCAAUCCAAUCUUUGAUUUCCUAGCUAGGUGGGAUGGAAUUUUUUUUGUUCCAUGGGGAAGAAAACAGGGAAUGAUUCAUUCCAUAUGUGGCGAGGGGGGACGGGGGAUGGUUCUCAGUCCCUCUUCCCCAUGUCUCUAUUUACAGUCCAUUUGCUCUGGGUCCAUAUAGCCUACCAAAAUAUCCUUUGCCCUACCCUAAAGGCCCCAACGGUCCAACACCAUCCCACGCCUAAGGAUGAAAGUGGGGCGGCGUUGAGCAACCCACCCCACGUCCACAUCAAUUGCAACUGUUAUGCGGGUUGCAGCCGAAGCCCACGUCUUGCCGCUCUCUGUCCGUGGGUUAGAGUGAUAGCCAGUAAAGUGCCACAACGCAAGAACUCCUUGUCCUCCACCGUUGACUCAAAGGUCUACUCCAAUCCCACAGACAUCUUCCUGCGCCUGUGGAGCUCGGACAUCGGGGCUUCUUUUGCCACAAGAUGACCAUGGCGCCAGUGUGUCCGUGCUUUCGGUGCCUGUCGUCAAGAAGAGGAACAUGAUGAUCAAGGAAGAGCCACAGGAGUUGCUCAUUUGUCUUAGGUAUGACUCCUCAGCACCAUCCAACGAGAGACGGAGGUGGCCGAGGCGUGGGAGGAGUACCAGAUGUUCUUUUGAGUUCGCCGGUGAAGAGCUGGGACAUAUCGAUGGCCGGCACGACGGCUUAUCGCUCUUCCCGCCGCUUGAUGUGCUUGCUUGACGCAUCCAUGGACAUGGCGUUCAAAGUGAAGACGUACCAAGCACCACCGAUAUCGUCGAGUUUGCCCUCUGCGGUUAUGCUGCCUACCUCAACUUCACUGCCUCCUCCUUGCAGUCGCAGAAGCACACCGCCCCCAUCCACAUCGGCUGCCCAAGCCACACCCGCACCCUCCGCGAUGCCGUCGUACCAGGCAGACAACGUCACAGCAACAAUGUAUGUGGGUUGCGGGUUUGCCGCUGGGAAUAUGUGGGUUCGGCAGUUCAACCCACUCUAAAUGGUCUGUCAUGGCAGUCCAGCAUGUUAGCAGCGGAGCAGCCCAGUGGGUUGGCGCCAUGGCCUGCCCCAACUUGCAUCCAUACCCAUGCCACUACUGGGCUUGCUCCUCUCUUCUCUACCCCUAAUCAAGUCGCUCCAAAAAAAAAAAAGGUGAGUUGCGCCCACCGAUAUUUUGCCCUGGCUUAAAGCACGGCCUUUCACAGCCACUUACCAGCCCAGCCCAGCCCACCAAACCGCAGGCAAGACGGACACAAACCCGAAAGAAACACGAAGACCAAGUAGAAACAGACCCUUUUCCUUCCCCUAAGCCCGCUGAACAAGAAAAGGCCCAGAUACACACAGCAAACCAGCAAAGGCACGACCACCACCGCCGGCCGGGGGAAGCAAGCUCAAACCCUAACCGCCGGCGACGCCAGCACGAUGGCCCGCUACGACCGCGCGAUCACCGUCUUCUCCCCCGACGGCCACCUCUUCCAGGUCGAGUACGCCCUCGAGGCCGUCCGCAAGGGAAACGCCGCCGUCGGCGUCCGCGGCACGGACACCGUCGUCCUCGGCGUCGAGAAGAAGUCCACCCCCAAGCUCCAGGACUCCAGGUAGCAAACCCUCCCUUCGAUCCUCGUACCAGAUCUCGCGAUCCCCGCCUCAAACUCAUAUCUCUGGCCCGAAUUUCUGUCUCCCCAGGUCCGUGCGCAAGAUCGCGUGCCUCGACACCCACAUCGCGCUGGCGUGCGCGGGGCUGAAGGCGGACGCGCGCGUUCUCAUCAACCGCGCGCGGGUCGAGUGCCAGAGCCACCGACUCACCGUCGAGGACCCCGUCACCGUUGAGUACAUCACCCGCUACAUCGCUGGGCUGCAGCAGAAGUAUACACAGAGUGGUGGAGUCCGCCCCUUCGGCCUCUCCACUCUCAUUGUCGGCUUCGACCCCUACACCGACAAGCCGGCGCUGUACCAGACCGACCCAUCCGGUACCUUCUCUGCUUGGAAGGCCAACGCCACGGGAAGGAACUCCAACUCUAUGCGUGAGUUUCUGGAGAAGAACUACAAGGAGACCUCCGGCAAGGAGACCAUCAAGCUUGCUAUCCGUGCACUUUUAGAGGUAUAUCUUAAAUAAAUUGAGUUUUAAAUUUAAAUUUCCUGCAAUUUACACAACAUGCUAUAAAUCUAAUGAAGUCUAGGUUUUGCCGAUGUUUUGAUUUGAUUCAAAUGUUUCUAUUCUUUCUGCUUAAGGAAUUUACAAUAUAACAGUUGUAGAGCAUAAUUAGCAUGAUCAGGGAUAACCAAAUGUGUUACUUUUCUGCCUAAGCCUAGUGUAAACCAAACAAGUUUUCAUGGCAACUAUAAUCUGGGUAUCCAUCUUUGUUCACCGCCUAUCAGGUCAUGUAGUUUCCACUUUUAUUAUGGAGUAAAUUGCAGGGCCGGUCCUUAAAGUAUUAUGUGGUUUUCAUCUUGGUCCUCAAACUAUGAAAUCGCACGUCUGACUCCCUAAUGUAUUUAAGUGAUCUCAUCUAGGUCCCCAAACUACGAAAUCGCACGUCUGACUCCCUAAUGUAUUUAAGUGAUCUCAUCUAGGUCCAAAAUACACAUAAGGAGGGUUAGAAGCUGACAUAGUCAUCCAUAUGGAUAUGAUUUAAGCACAUGACUCCUGAUUUAAGCCCACGCGUGCGGCCGCCGGCUCUCCCCUGCUCACAAUCACAGCGCCCGCGGCAUACGACCUGGUCAUGUAGGCGGCAAUGGCGGCUGGUUAUGCUGCCGAGCAGGGUGAGGUAGACAUGGGAGGGGAGGGGCUUGGUCUGCGGUCAUCGGUGAUACACUCGCUCGCGUAACCAGCCGUCAUUGUAACCUACAUGACCAGGUCGUAUAUCGCGGGCGCUGUGAUGGUGAGCAAGGGCAAGCCAGUGGCUGCACGCGUGGACUUAAAUCAGGGGUCAUGUGCUAAAAUAAUAUUCAUGUGGAUGAUCAUGUCAGCUUCUAACCCUCCUAUAUGUGUAUUUUGGAUCUAGAUGAGAUCACUUAAAUACAUUAGGGAGUUAGAUGUGCGAUUUCGUAGUUUGAGGACCUAGAUGAAAUCACUUAAAUACAUCUGGGAGCUAGACGUGCGAUUUCAUAGUUUGGGGACCUGGAUGAAAACCACGCAAUACUUUAAGGACCGGCCGUGCAAUUUACUCUUUAUUAUGUUUGGUGCUGGGAAUCAUAACAAGCUCUUGGAGCAAUAGUUUAACAAAUGAUAAAUCUAUUCCUGACUUGAGUUGUUUAUUGAGCAUGAGUUGCUUGAGGUAUCUCUGGAUUUGUCAUUCUUAAGGCAUUGACUUUGCUUCAGGUAUUUUAUACAUGGCCAAUAAGAUAUUAGCUAGUAAUGCCUGGUUUUCUUUUUAAAAAAAUGUGCAGAUUAUGUUUUCAUUAGAUCAUACAAAAAAGCAAACUUAACGCAAAACUGGAAUCAUAUCCAUUACAGUACCUCCUAUCAAAAACUAGGUAAAAACAUGGAAGAACUGAGUGAUGUUGCACUAGAUUUUUCAUCUGUACUGAAGUGCAUAGGAUAUUUUGCAUCUGUGAUAAAUGUUCACGGCAACUGCGGACUUAUGGAUUUCCUCUGUAUCAGCUUGUGUUUGUCCUACUCACCAUAAUUUGCAAAUUAGAUAGCAAAUGAUGUCGGAUUAUUAUAAUUAGCAUUGGGUGUGUACUAAGGUGAUUUUAGCGCCUCCCUGAUAUGUACCUGCUGCCCCCUGGGACCAAUUCAGCUCCCCCCUGAUAUCUAUCUUGCCCCUAUCAGCACAUUCAGCUCCCUCUCUUGUCAAAGAUUUUUUUUCUCAAUACUUCCAUCUUUUGACAGUUAAAAGUAAACUUAAUUCGGACUACACCAUUCUAGAUUUUUAUUGAAAAAGUUAGGAAAUUCCCUUUGUUUAGGCAAAGGAUGGACUGUUACCCAAUUGGUCCACUCCCUGCAUGGUAAAAGAAAACCUCAUUCAGGACCUAUUCAAAAUACCAAACUAUGAUUUAUAAUUUUACACCAUUUAAAAUGGUAGGGUAAGUGGGGGGCCUGAAAUCUCCAUAAGGCUGUCAAUUGGUAGGUGUAAAAAAGUUUUCAGUAUGCUAGGACGGUGAACAUUGCUGUGCUUCCACAGCUUGUACAAAUGAAGAUUUGUAAACGUACUCCGUCAAGUGCUCUUAUGCAUAUGAAGUUGUGGGUUGAACUGUGUAAUAUUGAUAGUGUCUACACCAGGCCAUGAAAUUACGCUAGUUCAUGAUGACUGAUUAUAGUAUUCUAUGGUUAGAACAUUUUCAAAUCCCUACUCUUUAGUCUUUAGUGGGAUGGUAUUUACUCUCUGUGUCAAUUUUUUGAAUACAAGAAUUCUUUUGCAGCGAGGAACCUCUCAGGGGAGCUUGUUGAUCUUUCUUCAAAAUUUGUUAAUAUUUCUUUUGUCAUUAUGCUACGACUUGUUUCUUUAGUUCCGUGAUAUUGACAGAAUGGCAAUCCUGUUAGGUUGUUGAAAGUGGUGGGAAGAACAUCGAGGUUGCAGUGAUGACAAAGAAGGAUGGUCUCCGGGAACUCGAGGAGGCUGAGAUUGAUGAAUAUGUUGCCGAGAUUGAGGCAGAGAAGGCUGCAGCGGAGGCUGCAAAGAAGGGAGCCCCGAAGGACACCUAAUUCCUGUCUUGUGCUAUGCCUCCCUUCAACACUGUGUGCCUGGUUUUUAUGUUCCAUAGCACCAUCUUAACUGUUUUAGAAGGAUGCUAGAUCUUUAGGUGAAACUAUGCUCAGGUGCCUGUGGCACAAAUGAUGUAAUGUGCUCAUCUACAUGCCUUCUAUGGAAAUUUUCAAUUUCGUCUACUGUGUCAUCUGGACAGUAAUAGUUCAAACGUUUUCUACUUGAUGAUUCCUUGUCAUGACUCAUGCAUUCUCUUGGGCCUGGGCCGGGGCCUGUGGGCUGUGGGAUUCUAAGUUUUGCAGCCUGAGAAUGUUCGUCUAAUUUGUUGAUGAGGAAUAGGAUGGUCUGUUUUUGCGUCUUUUGCUUACUUAAAAAAAAUGAUGAGGAAUAGGGUGGUUUUUUUUCCGUCUUUUGCUUACUUCUUCAGCGGUGCUGUGAUUGAUUCCACGGUAUCACUUGGAGCCGGUUUUAUCUGGCUGAAUCUUACGCAUCUGGGCACUAUAUAUUUAUAAACAGGAUGACACCAUGGUUUCUCCUAGUCGGUCUGGCUGUGUCAUUUCGGUUGAUGAUAAUCUCAGAUGAUAACGAUGGUGCUUUCACCGUAAUGUCACGCUGCUUCACAAUAUUUUCAGUUCAAGGCGAUAAUUAAUGCUGCUGCUUUCUUCUACCUGUCGUAUUUGCCCUGAAGAGUCAAUCAACUAGUUGCGAGCUGUAGUCUCUUUGCUUCUCUCACACAGCACGAGCAAAACCUGGUGCACAGAAGAGAUCACUGGCGACUUUGCUCCCUCCGCUACACGUCAGAGCACCCUAUUCUCCUCCACUUUACAUCACAGCUGAUUGCAGAAGCCAUAACAGAAGGUGCAAAUUUGCAGUAUUCUUCAAGUUUACAUCACUGUGGAUUUCUAGAACAUGGAAAAAAGAAUAAAUUUCCAUACAUUUUUGUCUGCCUGUUAUGAAGUUAUGAUGCAUGAAGCAACCAACUCAGCUGCCGCGGGCUCCGUCAGGCAGUGGACUCUGUUUAUUUACUGAUUAUUAGCACGUCAGGUGAGGCCAGGCGUCAGGGGCUCAGGGCAGGGCAUCAUCAUAGGCUGCCAAACGUGGCCUGCUGUUUUUCAAAGAUGGAUAACACUAAACCUGACGUGCCCGAAAACAUGAGCGGCUAACUACUUCGGAGAAAGAAAACGGCAUGAUGUGAAGGUGAUGCGCUCGCAUGUUAUGCUAUGCUAUGUACACCAGGCGUGCACUCAAACACUAGCAGAGCGUCAGCCAUGUCUUGGUUUCUCUGGGCUGCUGGGCACGCACGUUUCAAGUGUCACCGGCUCAUCAUCCAGUCCCCACGGUGAAUGGAUGAAGACCUGAAACUCUUCGAUGUGUGAGUGUGAGUCAUUUUUUUUUUGGCAGGGAUGAUCUGGGGUUUUGUUAAUUGUUUCCAAGAGCGACAUGUCGUACGUCAGAUGAGAUCUCUGAAUCAGCAGAGAGACUGAAUUUCUGAUCCCCUGCUGUGGUGAAGAACCAUGGUAAAUCCUGGAUAUGCGUCUCACUGUCUCACUGAUAAUGUCUAGACGAAUUUGAAGGCUAUAUAUAUAUAUAUAUAUAUAUAUAUAUAUAUAUACAGAUCAGUAGGGGUUGACUCCUGAUUAGAUUGAAAAGAAAAAAAACAGACAGUUCACAGUUACAGCCCUGUUUGGAACUAUGAAUAUCUCCUGAUCUCUCUACAGGGACAUGAACUGAACUAUUUCUUCUGCCUUAUCAAAAAAAGAAAACCGGCCUAUUUCUUCCAAAACACCCCUGCGUUCUACACAAGCUUUUAUUAUGGAACCUUUUAUUCGUAGUGAGCGACUGGAUUAGCAUAUGUGCAGAACGGAGGAACAUACCCCUGCUUGCACUGUUGUGCCUGUUGGCGAGGUUGGGACGUAGCUAUCCGCUGGGCACUCGAUCGGGCCUUAUUACACUAUCAUAUCGACAUGACCGGCACCGGCUGAGGCCUCUUGAACGCUAAUAUGACCACCUACUCACCAUGCACGAUUUAACCCUGCUGCCACUUUUCUAGAAACGCAUGAGCGGAUACCAGCACCGAUUGGAUACCUUGGCACGCACCUUUUGGCCAGCGUGACAUCACACACACAACAACAACAACAACAACAACAACAUUCUUAGCCUGGCCAAUUAGCGGAUAAAGCAAUGUGAAAAGAGACCACUGAUCCUCAGGUCUCCACACGUUGGAGCCCAACCAACUAGAGUUGACCAGGAGGCUGCCAUGGAACAUGGAUGGAUCAUAUGGACUGGAAGCAGUGGGGAAGGAGGUGUGCCCCAUUAUAUAUAAAAAUAUAUUUCUCAUGUGAGAUCGAAUAGGCACCAAGCUUUUGUUGUUAGUAUAAUAAUCACCUCUUCGUUCAGGUUAAUCCGUGCCGAUUAGCAGGGAGCGAUUGAUGACAGUUUUAAUUUGCCAAAUCAGGAAAAGGGAGGUUUCGGAUAAGAGCGAGGACGAGGAGGGUUGGGCUUCGGUUCGGCAAGCGGCGGGGCCCGGCCCCACGCUCGGGGAUGGCCCGCGUGGGUAACCCCAACGGAGCCUGCCAACCACCGGCGCUCCAUGUCACGCGGGGCCCGCCGCCUCGGGAAACAGGGACAGGGACAGAAAGGGAAAGCGGCGGGCGGUACCAAGUACCAACCACCUAAUCUAAUCUAGGGCUCCGGCUCCAACCAAUGGCGCUUCGCUAUCGCCUACCUGGACAGGACAGCGAUGUGAUAUGGGUGGUCAUGGCCACACGCACUUGCCAUUGCCAGCAAGUUCGAUCGGCAGCGGCAAAACGCCAUGGCCAUCCAUGCUCCUCACUCCUCAAGACCUCAACUUGUAGGUAGCUCUUCUGACCUGACCGGCCUAGAGCUACAGAUCGACAUGCAUGCACGCACGCACGCACGCACGCAGACGCAGCGCGGUGAAUCAAAGUCAGCAGAAAUAAUCUGAAACCAUCCCCUGGAUCGAUCGCUCUCACGAGUACUACAUAGUUAUCAAAAGCUCGAAGCUACUGUCAAUCGAUCCACCGGACCGGUAAAGCCCGUAGCUAGACGCUACAUGUACUGGUCCUCGAUAAGGUGAUGGAGGAAAUCACGAAAACGAAGGAUGGUGGGAGAGCUUCCACGAGCACAACUGCACAAGCGACAUCACGUUACCUGCCCUGCCCACGGGGCAAAUAUCGCUCGGAUUUCGUCAAGAUUCCCAUCCCAGCCGGGCGCAGUCAGUCGCGCAUCAUUUGCCCCGCGGAACGCAGAAGCAGAACUAGUACCGGGGGAGGUCGCGCGGAAAACACACACACACACACACGGGUUGCCCGGAUAUAACAGCGACCACACCCGGCGCCUUUACGGUCGCGUGACGACUGACGAGGCUGCACGUACGAGAGGCCGGUAGAGCGAGCGGCCGGCACAGCAGAUAAGCUCGAUCGAUCGGCUCCGCCGGCCGGUGACCGCAACGACGGAGGGGUCGUUUUCCGGCGGCCCCGGCCGUUCCAUUCCAUUCUCCAUGUAGCAAGGGAUAAGAACGGCAGGGGGAGACUAUUUUCCAGCGCCGACGCAGUACGUGCCGAGUGAUUGUGCGCAGCGCACGUAGGCCGCCCGUCUGGUGAGUGGUGGUUGACGGCCGGGGCGAUCGAUCGCGUUCCCGUGCUGGGCCCGAUCCAUGGAUCCCCCAGUCCCAGACCCCAGUACGUACGCGCGCGUUGUGCGCGGCACUAGCAAAGGGCCAACGGGAUGUCCGUGGUGGAUUAGUGGAUGUCUGGUGGUUUCGGCUACUGGAUCCAGAAGAAGAAUGCGCUGCUAGUACUGCACUGCUACUAGUGCUACAGGACACUGAUGUGAGCUGCCAUGCACGCAAAGAUAUUUGUGAGUGGCGCUUGAGCUUUUCGCCAAGCGAGCACGAACGGGGUGCCGGCGAGCACAGCACUUGCACGUCGCUGCCGCGCGGACGAACUUUAAUUUUUCGUUGCCAAAUGGCACCGUAGUAGAUAUAUACUACUUUUGGCGAGCACGAACUGGUAGAUAUUUCGGUGAGCCCGCGGUUGCAUGCCCUGGCCCCGCCACCGGCGUGUCACUUUUUCUUCCUCCUUUUCUCCUUGCAAUGCAGAGAGCACCGAUGUACUCCUACGUAGCAGUCGUGAUGUAGAUCUGUACCGGCAACUUUUGCCGCCUCUUGGAGAGUCGUCGUCGGGCUCUGGUCUGAUACCGGGCAACUUCUUCCUGCAGUGGAGAUAAACGUCUGAUGCGUGGAUAAUUUAACCAGCGGCGAGCUGAUCCAUCGGAGUCACUUGUCACACACUGUUCUCUGAACCUGUUGUUGUUGUUGGUAGUCAAGUACGGAGUACUUAUUAACACUUUUUCUACCAAUUAGUACGAAGUAUCGCCGCCGCAGGAGUACUCCGUGCUUCGUUGUGAAUAAUCUCAUCCAGAGGUGAUGUUACAGCUGCUGCUCACACUUCACAUAUUCGGUGUGAACGUGAACGUGCGUGAAAGAUUCUACUGGACUGGAGCCCGGCGUCCAAGCUUCAAGGAGCAGAGAGCAUUCAACGCAAGCCCUGGUCCCCGGAUCCCACCGGGAACAUCGAAAUGGCUGGCAUGGAUGACUGAAUGAUUGGCAAGCAAUAAAACAGCUCGAUCCAUGCAUCUCGUCCACCCUACUGUGUGUUUGGGCUUGUUUAGUUCACUCUGAAAAUCAAAAAGUUUUCAAAACUCUGCGUCACAUCGAAUCUUGUGGCAAAUGCAUGAAAUAUUAAAUAUAGACGAAAAUAAAAACUAAUUACACAGUUUAGCUGUAAAUCAUGAGACGAAUCUUUUGAUCCUAGUUAGUCCAUAAUUAGAUAAUAUUUGUUAUAAACAAACAAAAAUGCUACAGUAUCGAAAACUUUUCACUUUUCGGAACUAAACAAGGCCUCACGCUCUCGUCGGUAGCUCACCACUGACUGCAGGAACAGUGCUGCCCUGUGACAAAAGAGCAGCGAGAAUGUCCCUCUCCAGUCCACCACCCGUUCGGCUUCGUCCCUUCCGAUGGGGGAAAAAAAGACGAAGAAGAUGAAAUGGCAUGUGACCUGGAGCCCUGGACUUUUGCUUUCUGUCAAGAGCUGAUGCACCAGCAUGGCCAUCAAGGCCGUGGCAGAUGACCUGGCCCCCAUCCGAUUAGAAUCUCCCGGCCCUAUCCGUUUCCCCAUUGGACGGCUCCCACCCUGCGCAUUUUAAAUGCAACAAACACCACACUUGUCUCGUCACUUCAUCUUAAUCUUAUUGUUGGUAGGUGUACGAUCACAACGAAAGAACAUCUCAUAUUAUUUCUGCUAAAUAAACUUAUUGUUCUUGUACACACAAUUAUUCUUCUACACGCAAAUAUUUUCUACCAGGGCGCGUGGACUGUGACCUUUAUUAUAUAUAUACUAGCACCCAAAAAACAGAGAGAGAGAGAGAGAGAGAGAGAUGCUGUGGUUGGCUAGUUGUUCACUUGUUUACAUCAUCAGCAUAAAUAAACAAGAUAUAUAUUAUAUACAUAUGCUGGCGCACGGGGUUGUAUUAUCCGUCGUCUGGCUAAUUAUUGACGACCAAAAAACAGUCAUAAAACUGAUACGGAUGAACAUUUGAACAAAUAGAUCAUCAUCAUCAUGCAUGCAUAGUACUACAACUAACACCAGAGAGGUUGUGGGCAAGACAGGAGGGGAGAGGAAUAACUCCAACAACGGCCACGCACAACAAACACCAAAUACCAAGCACGGCAAUAAAACCGAACGGUGUACUCCAACAGUUGGGAGAGCUUUGUUUGUUUGGCACGCAGCACCUACCAAAGGGGUUCGAUCCAUCCAUCGAAGAGCUAGGAAGGUCCGGCCUGGUACGUGUCGCCAUCGACACACUUGCUCGAUCAUCACAGCAGGUCAGGUCGGCCGCAGAAUUAUUUGCUCCCAUUCAAUUUCCGCAACUACCAAAAUACUCAUACAGUGCACGCAUCACACUAUAGUAUAUAAUCACAGGGACGCGUUUAGUGGUAUAGGAAAAAAAAAACGGACUGAUGAUGUGAAAGCCCUAAAUCAAUGGUCGGUCAUGCAUGUUAUUAAUUCAUUUGUCUAUCGCCUAUACUAAUAACAACAUGAUAGAAGUAGUAAGUACUUGACACGAAGGCAGAUACCAACACUCUCUCUUAAUUAUUGUUUCACCGUUAUGUCAUGACAGCGAUUCUGACGGCUAUGCAUAUACGUAUCUUUAUAUCUUUAUUAUUAUGUAUCCAUUUAAUAGUUUCAUACUGAUCAACUACCGUAGAUACCAUGACGCGUGUGUACGCGUAUUUUAUAGCUGCCAGUACUCCUGGAAAAGAUAUAUAAUAAAGAAGUAGCCAAGAGAAGUUUUUUUUUUUUGGAGCCUACCAAGAGAUGGAAUUGAAAAGAACGCAAGACAACGUGGGGGUUGCUUUGAUCUGCGGACAGCCUAACCGAGAACUUGCCCAAAAUUGACGACUUGGGUGAUGUAUUGGUAGGUAGCCACCGGAAAAUGACUUGUCGCUUGUAGUUUUAUUUUUGUAAUUUUUUUCUCCAAUGUGCUGCCUUGUACUCCCUACUCACCUCCAAUAGCUUUUGUUGGGUAUGAACUAAUGAAUACUAGAUUGUUAUAUGUUUUCCCCGUUAUCAAAACUACUAUGUUUUUUUAACUGCUUCUCCGUACGUAAGUAUAGUAGCGGGGGUAUAUAUGAAUACUAGAUUGUCUGAUUGAUUUGGAUCUGCUUAGUACUAUGAGAUUCGCCAUUAUUGUACUAUCUUGGAGAAUGAUAUACUUAUCUUAUCAAAGGAUCAAUGCCAUAUUAUUGGAGGUGCCUUCAGUCCAAUAAACACCAACUGUAAAUGAAUCAAGAAAAAAGGGUUGGGGCCCGGGGGGGGGGGGGGGGGGGGGGGCAUGACAGUCAAUGACUUCUGAAAACGUUUUUCUCUUAUUCAGAGAAUUUUUAAUUGUAGUGCACACCCAAAAAAACACAUGGAUUUUGUAGUAGUGCACGUCAGCAUAUGUGUUUUACUCAUGGUGUUCAGUAUUCGCGGGAACAACAAUGACAUCCUUUGGAUCAAACAGAUGACCAACGACUACGUUUGUACUGGAGUGGAGAACGUGUGGGGGCUAGCUCCCUACGCCUAGCAUCUAUCAUCGGGUAGUAUGGACAUUGCUAUUCCCCUAUGUGGCACGGGGGUGCAUCUAGAGAUGACAACGGCUACGUACCCGACGGGUAGUGGCCACCCGUAACUGUACCCGCGAAGUCUAAAUUUUACCCGUCGAGUUACCCGUACCCACACACGGGUAGGAAAAUAAUUCCAUACCCGCACCCGCGGGUAAUUUCUACCCGACGGGUAACCCGCACCCAUUAGUAUACCCGAAAAUUACAUACAAAUAUCAUAUAUUUACACAAAGAAAAUCAUACUAAACCUCCAACAAGUUACAAACUAAUAUUCAUAUGACAACAUCAAAUUCAUAUACAUAUAUAUUAGGAGAGUUUAGUUGGAUUUAGACCAAAUUCAUGUGCUAUAUAGGCUAAAAUGAGAAGGGUGGCUAGUUAUUUUGACGGGUAUCUUUUACCCGCGGGUAGGCGGGUAUGGGUAGUAUACACCCACACCCGUACCCGCGCAUAUGUAUAGAAUUUUGCCCAAUAACAUACCCACGGGUAGAAAAUUCAUUCCAUACCCGUCUCUUUAUCGGGUAAAACCCGUCGGGUACUCGGGUUUCGGGUACCCGUUGCCAUCUUGAGGUGCAACUGGUCAUAGUGUCCCAAUUUUUUAUUUUUUGGCCCUUUUUUUAAAAGAAAUUUACAAUUGGCCCCUCUGAAAACUUAAUUCGACCUUUGGACCCAGGGGGUCGGCGCCAGAUAACCUGGCUCCGAGGUAACACGUCGCGGAGCCGCAGAUCAUGGCGCCCACCUCGGCGCCACAGAUCUUGGCGCCGACCUCAGAGCCACAGAUCUUGGCGCCGAGGUCGGCGCCACAGAUCUCGGCGCCGAGAUCAGAUUUAUAACGCGCAACGUGCACCCUUGGCCGCGCCCGAGAGCUCUCAUUUCUCCUCACUGUCGGCUUCUAGCUUCCCUACCCUCCUAAUCUUUUGCAAUCUUUAAUUUUGGCCGUUAAAAUUUGGAAGUGAUCCGUAGAUCUUUGCUAGCAAGGUAAUCUCUCUCCCCUCCUCAUUUUUUGUCUUGUGAUUUCGUAUAUAUUUCAUGUAUUCUUAGAUUAAUGUUGACAUUGAUUAUUAAUUUAUUUAUUUAUUAUGUAACGGUAGGAUGCCAAGGCGUGGUAAAGCUAGUAAGCCAAGGUAAUCUCUUAAUUAGGGUUUUUAGUUUAUGUUUUCAUUAAUUAGCAAUAGAUGAAGAACCUAGGUUUAUGGUUUAUUUUAAUUUCUUUUCGCUUAUUAGAACGGAAUAUGUUUAAAUUGUAGCUAUGGACGGACGACCGGUAGUCCGUACGACCUAAAGCCUCUCCCUAGCGGUGUUCCAAGACCCAUGUGCUUUUGUGGUGAUCUUUGUAAAGUAGAAAUUUCUGAAGAUGAGGAAACGUAUAAGCAGAGGUAUUGGAUGUGUUCCAAUUUUGCAUGGGAGCCUACGCCGCAACAACGCCGCAGCAAAUAUAUUGUGAGGAUUGUAUUGUGCAUUACGUAGUUUAUGUUAUAUGAAGCAUGAUUUAUUUUUUUAUAACAAUUAUUUUUGUUGCAGACCCCUCCACCGUUGUGUGAUUUUGAGCAGUGGAUCGACACUGAGAUCAAAGAGUCGGACAAGCGGCUUCUACAAAACCUGAAGGAGUGAGAUGCAGAGCGUGCGAAGAUAUUCGAGAUGAGACGCAAAGAGGAGGCUCUACAGAAGGAGCACAAGGAAGAGGAGGAAAGGAGACGUGUUGCUGUGUUAAGGGAGGAGAGGGAGAAAAAGCUUGAGCGUGUGCGCCGAGCGAAGGCAGCGAUGGAGGAAAAUCCUGAUGCACAGAGGAAGGGAAAGUGGCCUCGUUGCACUCAGUAAUUUUCAUUAAUGCUAGUUGUAUGGUUGUGUUUGACUUUGCAAUGCGUUAUCAUGUAAUGGAUUUUAAGUAAGGCCAUAUGUAGAACAUGUUAUGUGUUAACUAGUUUUUUGCCAUGUUUCGAGUGUUAUUGCACAUGGUAUAUUUGUUUAUGGUUUUACUAUCAGCAGUGGUUGUAUUAAGUUCAAUAAUUCAUAGAGUGUGAAACUAGUCGAAGUAGUAGAUAUAAAAUUUAACGAACUAGUGGACUACAUAAUUGACACGUGAAAUGGCAUGUAAGAAUAUGUGCCAAACAGGGGUACAUAGUUCUUUCAACUAACCCUAACAUGCCUUAGGUAAUUUAACCAAACAACAACCAUAUCGAAGUAGCUUGUGAAUGAGUUCGGUUUGAACUAGUAGUGUGGCCACAUAGCAAAUUGUGUUGCACCUUCUCCAAAGUAUGCACCCAUUGUUGGUGGUGGUGGCGGUGGCGGUGGUGGCGGAGGACCCUUGUUCUUGUGAUUAGGGCAGGUGCAGUAUGGAUCAUUGCACAGUCCAUCCUGUGAACCAGCACCAUCGUUGUUGUCGUCGUCUUCGUCGUCUUUGUAGCCACUACUAACUUUCCUUUUCUAAAUCAAAGAUACGGUCCUGCAGGUAGUAGAUAUACUCCGCAUGCGGAUGAAUAGGUCUAGGAUCAACCCACCUAGUAAACCCACAGUUUUCUUUGGACAUGUCGUAUAAGUAUGCAGUACAAAAUAGUAACUUUUUGAAGCGACAAAUAUUAAAAUCAAUUACCCAUGCUCGUGGGCAUUUGAAGAAACGACGACCUCCGUCCAUCCUCUCUGUGUACAUCUGUACCAAGCAAUCCUCACCAUGCAUGCAUUUUGGCCACUCCUCUUUCUGGUCAUCAUAUCCUCUUAGUGGUGCCUCUUUGGUGAAAUCAUGUUUAGUCUCUAGGGGGAACCUAUCAUAAAGUGCCUCCUCAAAGUCUUCAGGACCAAGAGAACCCUCCCACAAGAAGAGAGUUCCCUUCGUCCCCGCUUUUCCCUUGCCCUUUCCUCUAGACGACCCUCCAGACAUUUCUACUAGAACGUACCAACUUCUUGUGUUAGUUGAGUAGCAACACUUCCACCACUGCGUAUUUAUAGGCAGCCGAAGACUAUGUCAUAGGACACUAGAGACCCAGUAUUCGAGGAAUGAAAACCCUACUCGCCCAUGACCUGAUCGAUCACUGAAAAAGUUACAUGAAAACCCCAUUCACCGAUGACAUGAUCGGUCACUGAAAAGGCUACAUGAAAACCCCAUUCGUCGAUGACAUGAUCGGUCACUAAAAAGGCUAGAUGCUCUGCAUCCCACUGUUUUCAUCGUCCUAGUAACAGAAAAGGCUAUUCUAAAUGUCUGAAAAGGCUAGAUUCUUUAGUAGCACAUCAUAUAUUGCAUGAACAUUUAAUUCAUUUCAUAUUGCCUACUCUCUCGUGCAAUACUUUUUCGUCAUGGCAUAUUAAAUCUCAAAUGCAAUUAAUAUAUAAAGAAUGUUUCACGGAAAAAAUUCGCAAGAGUUUCCCUUAUUUCCAGAGCAUCCACAUAUACAAACAGAAAUUUAGUCAUCCACAAAUAUAAUUCACAAAUUUAGUCAUCCAAAUAAACAAACUCCACCAGAGUUUAGGUAAUAACAUGUCAUUGACAUAGUCCAGAAUGUUCAUAUAGUCCUAAAUAUUUACAGCAAAGUUUCCAACUCUCCAUGUUAGCACAAUAAUCACAUACUGUCUCUAGAAAAUAAAAAAAAAAGCAGCUAGGUCAGGCACUCGUGCUCAGUGCCUCCUACUCUUAGCCUUUCCCCUGUGGCCCAGAGCUCCAGUACCUGGAGUGUACUUGCAAGGUGGACGUCGUCGCCUUGUUCCUGCAACCUGUUGUUCAGAGUCGCUCAGCUCAUCAUUGCCAUCGUCAUCAUCAUCCUCUUCAUCUUUCUCGUCGUCCUCGUAUACAUUGCCUUGGAAAGUGUCCACAGAUGCCCUAGACGAGCUCUGUCCUCCUGAACCUAUAGACAGGGGUUUAAAUACGUGUGCGCAUAAGUGAUCUUAUCAUGUCAUUAUUAUAGCAAUUAUCUCUAUAAGUAAAGAAAACAUCUAAUGAAAAUAUACCUCCAUGAGAAGAAGUGGGCACAGGCUAUGGCUCCCAUUCUCGUCCCUGUGGCACGUCCACAUCCAACGCAGUGCUAGUACCACAACCACAACGAGCAGCUGCUCGCCUUAGCCUACGCGCUAGCCUCUGCCAUGAAAAGAUGUAAUUAGUGAGAGGAAACAAUAGUUUAAGUGUUGCUGUGUGUACCUAAAUUACAGCAUAUAUUACCAUGAGAUUAAAACAGUAGUUAAUUAUUCGAGUGGUUAAUUAUUGCAGCCACCAAAAUUACUAGCAGGCAGCCAUGUAAUGACAAUAUGCAGUCGCUGCUGCUGCAACACAAUAGAGACAGAAAAGACAAAAGGUAAUGUUGUCCUUACUCCAAGAAAGCUGUCUAGCGUGUGCUCAUCCACUCCUGUCCUUGGAAACCGUUCAAUCUCAAUCACUGAUUUCUUUAGCGUGUUGCCCUGCAAAAUUGGAGCCAGCUGAUAUAACUGAUUGUACUGCACAAGUAGAUGCAAGGUUAAGUGUAGCCCAGUCCACGGUUGUGAAAAAAAAUAUAUCCUACAAUGCCAUAUGUGUCAAAUGUUUAUGCUAUAGCUGGUCUUACCACUCGGUCGAGGAUAGGUGCACACUCUACUUGUGUCCCAACCUUUGUUGCAAGGUCGUAAGAAGUUUGUUCAUCAUCUGAUGACGCAAUGUCAGCGUAGUCUACUUGGGUCCAUUGCACCUUUAGCUUCGUUCUUGUUGAUCUUCUGUACCAAUUUAGGUACUGUCUGAAGUUUUCGUUUGUGUGGGGCUGGUCGUUCUCAUACAAGUUUUCAUGAAAACUUUCCCAGUACUCGAUGUAACGGCGCUCGAUGUAACGGCGCAAAAAAGUACCAUCAAUGGAUAAGAUUGGACGACAAUGCCUAAAGGCCUCAAAGCACUGGGGAAAGCACCAAAAUGCUCGAAAGAAUAUCUGCCUCCCGUUCUUCCAUUCAUUUGGCUUUGGGAUAUACUCAUAAUGCAUGCCUGGAUUUGCUGCUUUAAUGGCAUUGAACAUUGCUGGCAACUGCUCGUACCCCUCCUCCCAGUCCCCAUAUAUCAUCUUCCAAGCCCUUUGCUUUGCCCUCCAAGCCUUACCAUACUUUAUGUCAUACUUAAAUAUUUUCUUAGCCAUGUCCAUAAUUGUCCUGACCUUCAGGUUGGGCUGACCUUUCAAUAUUGUGUACAACGUGCUAGCAAUGAGGGUAGAGGUCAACUGUCGGUGCUUCUGUUGUAAAUCUGUCUGGGCACAAAUGUGUGGACCUACAAUUUUAGUGAUCUUAAACUUACCAGUGGCCUUUUGUUUACGAGCACAGACCCUCCAAUUGUAAUCUGCCAUCUCACACACCACAGUGUAACGGCGCUCGACAUACGAGUGCCUCACCUUGAAAUGUCUUUUACGUCUCACAGAGUACUCCUGUGACCACCUCUUUAAAGAGGGCAAGUCGUUGAAGACCAUUCCCUUCUUAAUUUCCACACUUUCACCUGCCUCAGGAGCCUCUAUCAGCUCGUCAUCUCUUCCUUCUGCAUAAGCAUGAUGAGAGUGACUGAGAGAACUGAAUUCAUGAACAAGUGGAUCACGAUCAGGACACAAGCGUCUGAUGAGCUCCAUUUCUUGUUCACUCAAAGCUGCAACGGGGCGGUCAUCAUCAGAAUCAACGGCCCUAGCUGUGCCAUAAGGCUCCUCAUCAUCCACAAUUUCAACAUCAACACUGUUAGAGGCUAUAAAACCUGGGUCCAAGUGGGUUGAUGGACCAACAGGAGCACAACCAUCAUUAUCAGGAUUAUCUCCUGCAUUUAAAGCAUGAAUAUGGAAAGCCUUUUAGACAAAGGAAAGUAAAUAAGCAACAAUAAGGAAACGAUAGUGUCAAUACAACACUUACUAGGAUGAUUCUGGGUCAAGGGUAUCUCAUGAGGGGCAACAAAACCAUCAUCACUACCACGAACUUGAGGACAUACACCAACCUCAUUAGGGGCAGAUUGAGCAUCCGGCACCACAACCACAUCUUCCACAUCCACCUCGCGGUUGGGUAGCAGAGGCUCAUAGAUUGGUGGAUUCACCGGUGUUGGCGACAACCGAUUAGGGGGUGCAUGACUAUUAAGGGGUGGAUACCCAUGAGGGUUGGGAUUGUUAGAAAACUUUCGUAUAACCAAAUCCAAACAUUGAAACUCAUUCUUCAUGACAGUUCUGACAUAUUUGUCCCACUGACCCUCUGAUGCAAUUGGGACCAACCGCCUAAAUAUACGGCCUGAUUUACCAUAAUGAAGUACCCCAUCAACUGAGAUGUCAUCCUCAUUGCACUGAAGCUCAUCACAAGCACUACCAACUAACUCAGAAAACAAUGGCCGAUCAUCGAACAUGAGAGGCACUCUUCGCAUCCCAACAAAACUAACGUUCCAAAACUCAUCUUCCUCUACUGUACCUCCAUAAAAAAGAUUGACUACGUUGUCCAUCUAGAUGAUAUGCAAAACACCAAAGUUAUUACAGAAUUAACUAAAAUGGGUAGAACUAAAUUACUAGCUUAACCAAAGUUGUCUCUAUCUAAAUAAAUAUGUAUCCAAUCUAAACUAACUAUUAAUGUACUUAGAUAUUUAUUUACAUAACAAAUUCUAUCACUACAUAACUAAACACAUAACUAAUUCUAUCACUAGAUAACUACAUUUACCAAAAUAAAUACAUUUACUACAAAUAAUAUCUAGAUAACUAUAAAUUACCUAACUAUCCAUCCACAUAACUGAUUCUAUCACUAGGGUCUUAUAUUAAUUAACUAAUGUAAAUAAAUAACAAUUUCAAUUUAUUAUAACAGAAUGUAUAAUACCUAAACAACCUAAAAAAAUUACCUUUUCUUGCUGUCUGUGGGGAGUCCUGCUUGGAGUCGCGUAGCAGGGGAGGUGGUCGCGUGGGGGACCUCAGCUCUGGGCGGGUAGGCGAUGGGCGGCGUGAACGCCUACCGCGCCCAGUGCCCGCCCGCCGGCCGCCACCGCCACCGGCCGGGCCGCGCCGCGCCGGACGCCGUUAACCACCGGGAGGAAGAAGAGGCGCGACGACAGCCGGGGAAGCAGAACUCCUGUGCGGCGGAUUAGGGGCGCCGUCCUCUGGUUGAGCCGCGCCGGCGUUGCUCCUACACCGGCGGCCGCAGGGGAGGGGAUGGGAUGACCGCAGGGGAGGGGAUGGGAUGGGAGAAGGAAUGGGUGGCGGCGGGCAGGAAACAGACGAUUCGCGAGAAGUUAGUCGCGGUUUUGAUCAGAGGACCUCGGCGCCGAGAUCUGUGGCGCCGACCUCGGCGCCAAGAUCUGUGGCUCUGAGGUCGGCGCCAAGAUCUGUGGCGCCGAGGUGGGCGCCAUGAUCUGCGGCUCCACGACGUGUUACCUCGGAGCCAGGUUAUCUGGCGCCGACCCCUAGGUCCAAAAUUCGAAUUAAGUUUACAGAGGGGCCAAUUGUAAAUUUCUUUUUAAAAAAAGGCCAAAAAAUAAAAAAUUGGGUCAUAGUGUGCUGCGCCCCGCGUCUUAUAUGGGUAACAUGUCCAUGGCUGUCCGCGUUACAUCCAAACAAAUGUUUCUUUGAUGCUCGAAAAAAACUUAGCCAAGUUCUUUCUAGGUUCUUUUUGGGCGAGCCCUCGGAGAAACCGCUAAGGGGCGUCCUAGCUUGGUCGUGGGACGUCAUGAGACCAUUGUACCGCUAUUUAGGUGGCUUGGAGUCGAGAGCUAGUCAGGUACAUUCCCGACUGAUGAGUGGGUUCGAUGGCUCGAGGCCCUUCGCCUUGGUUCACUUGGGAGGUAGACAUGAGGGAUAUAGUUGUAGUCACAGUCAUACCUCUCUCUCUCUCUGUGUUGGGGGGGCGGGGGUGUUACUCGUGGUACUAGUAGAAUAAUAAUAAGAAUAUCUUGUUCUUGUACAAUUUACGUGAAAUUUCUAGCACUACCAUUACACAAAUUUGCAAAGUGUAUGUAAGAUUGGAAUUGAACUGCAAUGAUCUCAAAAGUAUGUAAACUUGUCUAAUUAACAUUAUCAGAACCUCUUUGUAAAGGGAUUUGUCCUAAGAACUUUUAGAGUUCAGCUUUUUCCCAAACAGGGGAAACUCAUCAAUUCAGGGGGUGUUUAGUUUCCAUUUUUUUGCAAAAAAAUUUAGAUUUUGGUCCAUCAUUUUGCAAAAUAGAACUAAAUACUAUGCAAUUUUUUUUGGCAAAAAGGUGUUUAUUCUCUAUUUUAAAUUUUGGCCUCAAGAGGUCAAAAAAACUCAAAAAGAGCAUCAAGAGGCUCUCAUGAGGACAAUAAAUUCUACAUUUUAAAUAGAACUAAACAUGACCCUGAAAUUUUUGGUAUUUUGUAUUUCAUCACUCCAAAGUAGUUGAUAUUUUAUAUUUUGGAGCAAUUCCAACAGUUUUGCAAAUAAGUUUGGUAUUCUUGUUUUUUUGUCAAAACUCUCAAAAUCUUCUAUCCAACAGUUUGACAAUUGUGUUUGACAUUUGUAGCAAGUUGGCAAAUUCUUCUCUUUUCUUGGCAUUUAUGCACACCUAGAAUAGGCUUGACAUUCUGCAUGCGCGUGCUUUUAUAGCAAGCUGACAACUUGAUGCUUCUUCGUUGAUCUUCCACAACAAGUAGAAUUUUGUUUUUGCCAAGUCAAAAUUGUCAAACACUUGGAGAUGUCCUUUUUGUUCUCUCAUCAUAUCGUUUUGGAAGUUGACAAAUAUCAACAUUUGCCAAACAAAAUUUGCAAAACUGUUGGAGUUGCUUUAAUGGGACUAAACACCCCCUCAGUGAUGGUGGGGAGCUGCCGAAUUGGUCCAACCCUAACUCCCUAAGGGCCCCGGCACAAGUCAUUGUUUAAUGCGGAACUAGACUAAUCUAACCUCAUAAAGACUGUCUCUCCCUAACAGCUCGAUCAGGAUACCCGAUUUGAUUAGCAGUAGUAAAACGGCGGAUCAUGCCGCCCUUCCCGUCUAGGCUCUAGCUACCCCUACUAGCUACCCAGGCGAGGAUGCAUCCAUGUCGGCAGUUAAUAAUGGGGAUUGGCCACCUACCCCUGCCGCCAUUGCUCACGCCCGUGCAUUCAACCUGGCCGAUGCCGAUCUCCCCGUACGUCCGGUCCGGUCCAGUCCACAGCGCCAUGACCAUGAUGUGCUCGCUCACCUGUGUGCCAACUGCAGCUGAUGCUGCCCAUCCUGCCUGUAAAAGCGUGUCGUUGUGACCUCUGACAGCGUGGGCACUUGCAUGAAAGUACUAGUAUCUGUGGCCUUGUUUAGUUUCCAAAAAAUUUUGCAAAAUUUUUUAGAUUUCCCGUCACAUCAAAUCUUUAGACGCAUGCAUGAAGUAUUAAAUAUAAAUAUAAAUAAAAACUAAUUGCACAGUUUGAUUGGAAUUGACGAGACGAAUAUUUUGAGUCUAGUUAGUACAUGAUUGGAUAAUAUUUGUCAAAUACAAACGAAAGUGGUACUAUUCCUAUUUUGUAAAAUUUUUUGAAACUAAACAAGGCAAAAAUGUUAUCGACAGUAAGAUUUAUGUUGUUUAAUCGAUUUCGCUUGGCAGGUAGUAGUAUCAGCUGCAAAGAGAAGGAACAUGACCGCGGCGGCCACAUUAACACCGUAUAUAAAACCUAGCGCGAUGCUAUGUUGGGGUUGGGCAGGCAUUGGCGGUUUGCUUUCGGUGGAAAGUGAUAGCGAUUAGAUGCUAGCGACGAAAGAUAAGACGGGGGAGAUAUAACCAAAAUCCCCAACCUUUUUUUUUUACCACAAGGUACUGUAGCUCGAUAUUUUUGUUUAUCAGUUUGGGGUAGCUGUGACGUGCGAUCGAGUGGAAACUCACACUGAGAACAUGACAAAAAAGAGUGUCGCUUUACAGUACAGCAGUGUUUGGUUGGGACUUGGGAGUAAACUAAACUUCGCGGUAACUAAACAGCAUUCAUGGUGACACUACACUACUAUAUCUUUUAUUACAAUGGCGAACCCUCGUGAAAAAAAAAGGGAAAAUUUUAGCCGUCGUCCAUGUACGGGGAUCGUCAUAGGUCAGGGUUUGGACCUUCGUACAUACACGCAUCCAAAUCGUGAGGCCAAACGAAGCGAUAAUGAUCUUUUUAACAAGCAUGGGCCUCAGCAUAUGCGUUGGCCACUCUUUCUGUGUAGCAAUCCCAAUCGUAGUACGUACGUUAACAGAGCACAUGAGAUUAAGUUCAUAGCUGGCCAGUAGUUAAGCUAGCACUAAUUUUAUUUUCAAUAUCAGCAGUACGUACCUUGUUUUAUCAUUUAUUAUGGCCAUCGCCGCCGCCAGCGCCGGCCAACAUGGGCUGCAAUUUUCUGUGGACGCGUGGUAUGUUUUUGGAAACCAGUAUGCUGCUCCUACUAGUUCGUCACAAGCUGUGUGUUAUUGUAGUACGCAGUAGUACAAGUCACGGACGACGCUUUUGCCGCCAGACGCUACACCCGGCCGUGCACAAACAACAACCACAUCCGGGGCGGGAGUCGCGUCGCCCACACCGCCGCAAUCUCGCGCGAGAAUGACGAAACACACGCACCCGGCUCGAUCGUUGCCCGCAACCAACCCAACCCAACCAAACCCACCCAAAACCCAACGGAGGCACCGCUGCCAACGUCCCUCCGCGGUCCGCCGCCGAUGGCAUUCAUGACGCCGAGCCGAUCGAGGGCGCACGCCCGCGCGCGCGGGGGCAAGGCAAGUUGCGUUGCGCGGGAUCGGAUCCAUCCAAAAACCGCUGACACACACACACACACACACACACACACACACACACACACACACACACACACACACACACACACACACACACACACACACACACACACCACCCGCGCGCCCGCGCCCCCAUCGCAUCGCCGGGGGACGCGACGGCGGCCGAUCGACGGGCGGGGCGGGGCGGGCUCCGGAAAGGCGCGGCAUAUACGUACGUAUAGCUCCUCUUACCUAACAAGCGCCAUAAACUGAUAAACAAAUGGAGGUCGUGCCCUUUACAUGACCUCACGCCCUGCCUGCCUGCCUGCCUGCCUUGUACGCUAGCUUUGGUUACUCCUCCAUUACCAGCAGUGGUAAGCACCUUUUUAUCGGCGAAGAUAAGCUAAGCAGCAGCAGCACGGAAAGAAGAAGCGGGCGUCGCCGGCCGCCUUUUCUCUCUUCGAAUCGAGGGCGACUCGAAUUGCGUACGCUGCUGGCGGGUGGCGGCUACUACUACCACAGUGCCACAGUGGUGCAUACAGGUAGAAAGAAGCAUACACCUAUGACGACCUGUCCUUUUUUUUUCUUUGGUGACUUAUGACGUAGUACGACCUAUCCUUUUGCGCUGUGCGUCGUGUGUGUGUAAUGCAAAAAAGAAAGAAAAAAAAAAGGGCAGGUCAGAUUGGAAAAAAGCGUGGUCUAACUCACGAGGCGCUUUAUCGGGACUGCACGGUUAGGCGAUGGUCACAUGCUGCUGGUGUAGUGGUUUGGUAAACGUAAGAUCUGGCUUAGGCCUCAGCACAUGGUCCAGCGUUUGUUCCUGAGACCACACGGCCACACCCACACGAGGCCCUGAACCUAGCUCGCUAGCCUUCUGCAAACGGGAUUGUCAAUUUUCAGAGACUAAGCAGCAAGUAUUAUUGCCCAUGAUCAGUUGAGUUGGUGAUGGUAAUUACAGAGAAAAAGAGAGGAGACAAAAUGGAGCAACAAGAGAGAGCAGCAGGGAAGACGUACCCAGGGCACAAAUCCUCACCUUUUUUUUUCUUCCUUAUCUCUCUUUCACUCACUCACUACUACGUAUUUUCACCUACGAAGCUAACCAAAUACGUAUCAUCCAGGCGAGAUGUAAAAAAAAAAACAAGAAGGGGGAGAUUACAGAGGGGGAGACGCGAUCAUUUCAUCUCGAGGCUUCUGAAGUCGAGCAUGGCGGUCCUGAGUCCGAGGAAGUUGCUGCACUUGCAGUCGGCGCUCUUGGGGAGGCCCAGGCUGCAGCUGAAGCAGAGCCCGGCCUCCCGCUUCACGGGCUUCAUCGUCACCAUGGCCUUCUCCUCCUGGCACGGCGCCGCCGGCGGGCUGAUGCAGAGGUCCAGGUUGAGGUCGGGGCACUUGAGCGGCUUCCCCUGGCCCCAGUCGCCGGCGGGGUGGUGGUUCUGAUGAUGAUCGCGGCCGAUCGCGGCGGCCGCCGCCGCCGUCGCCUUGUUGUGCUCCUCCAGCCGGAACACGGCGCCCUUAUUCUCCUCACGGUCACGCGCGGCCGCCGCCGCCUCGAACGAGAUGGUUAUGUUGGACGUGUGCUCGUUGAUGGGGCGGUGUGUCACCGGGUCGAUCCCCCUGCUCAGCAGCUUCCUCCGGAUGUGCGUGUUCCAGUAGUUCUUGAUCUCGUUGUCCGUCCUUCCCGGCAGCCUUCCAGCGAUCAGGGACCAUCUGUACCGUACGUACCCAACAGAGACACGGGUUAGGAAAUGAUGAAUAAUAAUGGUGUAAAUGUUGCAGGCGAGACGACGGCGAGGUAUCGGAGAGGGAGGCACGCACGCCGCGCGCGGUAGUAGUCUUACUUGUUGCCGAGGAGGCUGUGGAGCUUGAUGAUGAGCUCGUCCUCCUCUUCCGUGAAGUUGCCGCGCUUGAGGUCGGGGCGGAGGUAGUUGAUCCACCGGAGGCGGCAGCUCUUGCCGCAGCGCAGGAGGCCGGCGGCCUUGGGCAGCGAGCGCCAGCAACCCUCGCCGUGCGCCUUGAUGUACGCCACGAGGCGGUCGUCCUCCUCCUUGGUCCACGCGCCCUUGUUGGUGUGCGCCUUCUCGCAGCACGGCGACCUCCCCAUGAUGGAGGUGUUGUGGUACGCUCGGCCGGCCGGGCACCCAACCAAUCCGAUGCUGCUACCUUGCCUGCUGCUUUCCUGGUCCUUCCUUUUGGCAGCCGCCGCCGCUUUUCUUCCCCCUCCUCGCCUCUCGGGUGCGUUGCGGGCGGCAGUGGAGGUUGGUUGCUGCUGCUGCUGCUGCUGCGAGUGCGAUCGAGGUGCGAGCCAAGGCCCAAGCUAGGGUGGGUGAAGGUGAAGCGGGGCUGGAUUUUAUAGGCACUUGACUGGAUCGCUGGAGGUCUGGUCUUCUAGAGGCAAAGGCUCUGUGAGUUGGUGGCAAAAAAGGUUAGGCCGCCGGCCGGUAGCGGUAGGCCUCCCUCUCCGCCCUGCUCCGCUCUGCCCUCGGGUCAUGAUCUCAUCACUGCCAGCCACUGGUUUACCACCAGUUUCAUUCACAAAGCAAAGCACAGCGCCACGGCCGUGGUCCGUGGAACGGAACCUCCGGCAGGUAGGUGUAAAGUGAGGUACGCGCGCGCGUGUGUGUGUGUGGGUGUGGGUGCCGAUGGAUGGACUCAUGGACAUGGACGGAUGGGGGGGGGGGGGGGGGGGGGGGGGUGCCGAUGGAUGCCUACCUCUCUCUCUCUCUCUCUCCACCACCACCAGUCCACCACGCUGGGUUUAACAGCUAACUAACCGCACCGCCACCGCCCCUGACGCAAACAUGUCCCUGAUUUUUGGUUACGGUGAUGGAUGGGAUUAGGUUCAUCUCCCUUUUUCCUGUCGCUGAUGUCGAUUUGCCAGGCACGCCACCACCACCCCCGUGAAACACCCUGCACAGGAGGUAAAACAUGAGAAUUACACCACGCAUGGCAUGGGGGGUGGGUCAUCUGGUUCUCAUCUCAACUCAACUCCUGCAAGAGAGAGUGUUAAAACUGUAACAUGACACCAGGUUCAGUGCAGUUUGGUCAGGUCAGCAGGUCGAUUAUGCAGGUAGUUUUUUUUUUAUCCUCGGGCACUACUACUAUGUCGACAUGAAAAUGAUUUCUGAUGUACACUAACACGAAAACAGAGUAGUAGUUGUAUACGGGUCGUCAUUCAUGUACUUUUUGCUUAAAAAAACAGACUGAUCUCACCAGCUCUACUCAUCUUGGCACCCUCGCCCUCUUUGUUUAACAACAAGGCAAAUGUUUUUGGUGUACCCACAAACCCAUAUGCUGAUACCUGCACUAAAAAAACACAAGACAGGGUCCUAAACUAAGGGAACCCUAAUCAUGGACUUCCUCCCUUGUUUAUUCCUGAAUAAAAAAAAGAGUGAUUCUGAAUUCGCAUCUGGCACCCCUUAAAUGAAUGUUAUUAUUGGCCACCCACCGUGUUGUUUAGUCUAUUUUCCCAGAAUAAUGUUGUUUCCAGAAUCAUAGAUAUUGUCACAUUCUGAUCUGAUCAACCUACUUUCAUGUGGAGCAUUUGUUUUAUAGUACUCUCAUAUAGUAGGUUAGUUCAUCUGUUUGGUCAACCAUAAAUUAAAAAUUCACCAAACACAUUGCUACAGCAUCUGUAUAGCUUAGCUUUUCGCAGCAAGGCAGAUCGUAUGGAUAUCGUAUUUAUAUAUAUAGGGCCAAUCAACAUGGCGAUAAUAAUUGAACAUUAUCUUUGAUCCUUAAUAAUACACCUACUAUGAUGAGGUCCUUCUCCACUCCUUAAACAUGUGCAUUCUAUUGCAGUAUUGCUCUUUUUUUUGCGGGGUAAAAGCGAGCUUUAUUGACUAGACGAAAAAUUACAAUCAGUUUGACUAUUAACACAAAUACCAAAAUUAUACAGGCUUAUAAUUUUCUACCCAAGCUCGUUCGCUUGUCUUAUCAGCCAUACUUCUUUUUCUGCCUUAUCAGCCAUACUUCUUUUUCUGUCAGCCAACAGUGUUUUCUCUCACGAUAAAUCAGCGAACAGUAUUUUCAGCUAUGACCGAACAUGUAUAGCAUCGGAUUGUGCGGAAAAUGGGAAGCAGAUGAGAUUAUGACUCUGCGAGGUGGACCAUUAAAAAUCCAGCUGGUGUUAUUUGUUAGGAGAAACUUACAUAUCCGUGACAAAACCCAGCUGGGGUUACAUUAUACUAUCUGCCUACCUAAUAUAUUCGUUUCAGGAUGGUUACCAAACUAUGGACCAUAGUUGGUUGGGUGCAGGGAGAGGAAAUAUCCCUCCCAAACCAUUUAGUUUUGGUUGGGGCCAGAAUGAUUGGGACUCCACACACACACCACAAUGGUCCUCCAUAUGCACUGUUUAUGUUUCUGGUGUCCUCCCUUAUUUCUUUCCUGUUGUCAUUGAGUGAUCAUAGCUUCAGAUCUAACUCCAAAUUUUGUUCUUCUUUUUGUGGAUGGGAAGGAUAACUUGAUUUUGUACCUAGAUUUCUAGCUGAUUUGAGACAUAAGGAUAUGGGUCUAUUCAGGUUAAAAAAAACAAUGAAAAAGUGAGCAUGUCAUAACAGAUAGAUGAAAAGUGUGUUUCAAAAAAAAAAACAGAUAGACAAACAGUUUAUAACUUUGACAGUACAAGGAAAUGCAACAUAUACGACAAGAGGUGUAUUUCAAAACCAAGCAAUCCAACAAUCGCGAGCCCGAGUGUUAGACAUCAAAACUGUGCAUGACCCUGGGAAAACUGUUUUACAUUACUUGUCCACUGAAUAUCAGUAGUACAGAUUCUAGCACUUCCACUCCUUACCCUGAUUAAAUGCUCUGGUAAAAGAGAAGUGACUAUAUUAUCAAAUUUAAUAAGGGUAUUGAUGAUCAUUUUACAUUUAUUUUUUCCUGCAACUAGUGUUGCCUUGAUCUGUGUGCAUGGUGUGCUGUGGACAAGAAGAAAAUAGAGGGGGUAAAGAGUGUUUGAUUGUUAGCCACAACUUGCCACGUUUAAGGUUAUGCAAGUUUGAUCAACUUUGAUUGUUGUUUGGUUCAUAGUUACAAAGUUUGUGGGUCAACAAAAUCGGGGAAAGUGGUACAGGUUUUAACACUGCGAGGUCAAAAAUGACCCCACGUACCUAGGUCCGUGUCGGUGUUCUUGUGUUGAGGGCCGAUGCCUUUGAAACCAUUUUAUGUGAUUAUACUUCGGUUGCCACCAAUUAGACCCCACACAUCAAUGACUCAAAAAAGUGUAACAAGAUUCUCUUAGGCUGAUUAAGAUGUGAUAAAUAUUUUGGGCGCCAAACCUUAGAUAAGUGUAGCAACUUUUGUGGCAUAUGAUGACAAUUUGUGGCAAAAACCAAACAUGCACGUAAUCUUAAUUGUAAUUUCUAAGCAACAACAAGCUAUAGUUAGAUACAAAUUGAGCUUAGGUCUUGUCAGUUUGUUACCGUCUGAUUUGAUACAUUUUUAAUAGCCCCUCUUUUGUUUGGUGUACUUAGCUAUAGCUAGUAAACCACUUUGGUUGUACCUUAAUCACCAUCUGACUAGUAAAAGGAGUGCAAUCACUGAACGACGCGCUAGCAUCAUAACUUUUUGGUAGUUAAAUGGUAGGCACUAGUUCUAGAAAGCAUGAAGUCAGGCAAGAGGAAGGUAGGGAAAUGGUUUGUAGUUGAGAUGUGGUGUUGCCGUGUUGGUUAUGUGCAUUAGUUCUACCUUCCACUUCUCAGCCACACACUUGUGGUGCAAGCCUCCUUGUGCAAGCUGGGCUGUUUUUGGUUAGGGAGGAGGAGAAAGAAGGUAAGGAGAGAGGUAGGUCUAGGGGUUUGCUGUCGUCUCUUCAGGAAAGUCACGGCCAAAAUUGCCAUCCCCACGACACGGCAAAGGCACUAGCCCGAAUGGCACUUAUCCAUAACUCCUCUGUCUGUCCUAACUUACUCUUUGUUGCCCCUGCCUACAUGCCCCUUAUAGGCCUGCAUAAAGCUCCCAACUCCCUGCAGGCAUCAUUCUUUUUCACCCUUAAUCUUCUCUCUACCUACCAGUCCUCGCAUUGUUUAGUACAAUUGCCUAUUAUUGGAUUAGGUGUGGUGUUAGUCUCAAAUUUUCUGGCCAUGAAUUAAAAUUUCAUACCAAGUCCCACUAUUGCUUCCCGAGUAAUGUAAACAGUAUGCAUACCAAAGUGCAAGAACCAGGUCUGGGAGUUUAAUUUAUAAACUUAUUGCCAAAAUUAAUGUUUGCCCUCAAAAUCAACUUAGUGCUGUUCCAGCUUCAACAGUCACUAUUGCAGUUGCAGUCUUUAAUUCAGAUUCCAGGAAGACUAGAAAACCUUCAACACUAGUACACUGCCUGACAACCAGAGACUUUGACUUGAGGUCAAAUAGAAACCUAUGUCCUAUAACUAUUCAUAUAGUUCCAAAUCAGAGUUCAAUCGGGAAUCAAUACACACAAUCCUUCAUCAUCGAAAUUCAGAAUGAAGACAUAAAGAGAUAGGGAACUGCAUGAACUUGGACCCAGUAAAGAAAAGAUGCUGUUCUAAAAAUUUGGCAUUCUAGCAUGUUCAAAAGUUUGAUUUCUUUUCUUUUUCUUAAAAAAAUAAAAAAAAUAAAGUUUAAUCUGUUUAUUUUAAAAAAGGCUUAAUUUGUUGUGUGGACAUGAUAAUAUUUUAUGUAUUUCAGCAGUAGUUAUAUUAAUUAGCAUCCUAGACUCAAAAUACUAGUUGCUCUUGUUCACUUAACAUUUCUGGUUUCCGUAUUAGAAGCACUUUGUGCACAAGGUCUACAUAGCUACCAUAUAAGACUCAACACUCAAGUUUCGAAGUAGUGCUUACAUCCAUCACAGUAUCAUCCUUACCCUGUCCCAUGAGCUCCUUUUCAUAGUGCAUCCACAUCCACCAAAAGAUGACAUAAAAACCUUUCAUAUGCUCCUUCGACUCUGUCUGAAUCUGUGAACCAGUGGAUUUCUGCAAAAUAAAUAAAUCAAGAUUCCACUAUGUACCCUACUUCAAUUUUUCUCAAAGAAUUACCUUCAAAUUAAAACAAAACAUAUUUAGUUUAGCAGGGGACACAAUUUCUGUAAUACAACACAUUCGGCUGAUACUGAGUUAAUGGCUAAUUGGACGUUGUAUUAUUUGGUCUGCUGAAGAAGGGUCAAGUUUAUCUUACCAAGUUGUUCAAUCCGUCAACUUAAUAGAUUAUCAACCGAAACUGAAAUAUAACCUAACAGGCACAUCUAGUUUUACCUGGGGAUGCAAUUUUUGUAAAUACAACACCCUUGACUGACACUGAGUUACUGACUAAUUGGAUGUGUUGUUUGGUCUGCUCAAGAGGAUCAAGUUUUACAACUCCAUCAACUCGAUAGAUUAUCACAACCAACCUAAACUGAAAUAUGACCCAACAUACAAAUUUAUCUAGGUAUGGAUAUUUGGUCAGAUUGAUCCCAUGGCAAGCUAAUACCAAUGACAUAUACCAUUCAUUUGCAUGUAGCUGGCCCUCUUUUAACUACCACUAGACCAACUCCUCGUUAGUUUACAAAUGGGUGUUCAAAUAAAAUUAAAUGCACAUUAUUUCCUUCAGUUGCAUAUGUGAUUAACAGUUGAACAAUGGAAUGCCCCAAGAAUAGCCAAAGGAAACCCCAGGAAUGCAGAAGCACACAUUAUUAUUAGUUUUCUUUAUGACAUAUUCCAUCUACCAUAAUUUUCUAAAAGUAUCCCCAGAUAUAUUGUUGUCAUCAAACAAUUUGCAUACACCACCAACAAAGAUGGACAAACAAAGAGUUAUGCUCAUGUUAACAAAUGUCGUUCCUGAACAAACUUCUCAGGUUCAGCUAUGGUGAUCUUAGAACCUUUAUAUCUAAAUUCAAGCCAGAGGCAAGUAUAAUUCUUCUUCACAUUCGGGCUUCACUAAUUCCCCCCACCAUGUUAAAGGGGGGGGGGGGUCAAAGGUGGCCACUUGAGUUGACCCAAAUAUCUAUGGGAACAUAAGGUCUGCAACUCGAUCUGCAUAGCAGUACUUGAGGGAGAAUAAUGGCUGUGGAGUCUGGACCCAAACACUAUUCAACCCAUAAUGUCACUGCAUACAGGAAAGCAGACCUACAUCUCUAAUGGAAUCAGAGAUGCAAGCAUCACUAAGGUUUGAAUUUGGACCACUUACAAUGGUGUGAAGUGAGCAUCAUCCACGUUAGUGCCUUUUACCAAUCAUCCCUCUUAUGAUUCACACAGCAAUGAGUGAUUAAUCCAUUCGGUCUGACGCCUAUGCCCAUAUAAUCUCAAUACAGGUAGCACUGCCUUUGAGAGGCUUUAAUAAACCUGAAAUAUCCUCCAUGUAUCAGAAAUUUUGGUCUAAGGCAUCUCCUCAAAUUUCUCUAUGGGGCAGCAAUAGUGAUCCUGGGGGUCAAAGGUGUUGUCAUUGAGUCUUACAUGAGCUUUUCUAUCAGAUAGCAAUCCAGAAAGAAAGUAUAAAAGUUUUCUAAAAAUAUAAGGUGAUUGGCAAUAUAGAAAACACAAAAAACAUUGAUAUGUUUCUUACUAUUUGGCACGUGCUCAAUGAAGGUACAGUGGUACUAUCGAAGUGUAUUAUACCAAUAAAUGCAAACCUGUGAAGAGACUAAAAUAGAAAAACAGCAUGCUAUACUUACGUGAUGAAUGCUAAUGAACCUAUUUCAAAAAGGCCGUAGGUUAUAGCCAUAAGCUAUCGAGUAGGUUAUUUGGCAUUGUAUAGAGUUGAGUCAUGUUGACAUACAACUACAGGACAACCACAAUACAUGAAACUUGCUCAGAAAAUUGGCUCACACAUAUAUGCCUCUCAAACUACCAUUGUAUCAUAAACGUGUGUACAGAAUAGUGACAAUCCCAUCUUAAAUAGCUACAGCAGAGCUUUAUGUGGGAACCAUUGUAUAGUGGCCAAAACGUUAGAACACUAACAUAUAGGAUCAAUUAGUAGAGUAAAAUGAUGUAACGAACGUCCACUUCCAAAGAGAACUGCAGUUCAUCCAACACGACAAGUUAACAACAUAUACGAAUGCAACAUAAGAACUACUUGCCUAUUGCCUCUAAUGGAACUGAGAGAUGUAAGCAUCGCGAGACUUGCAUUUCCACCACUUACAUCGCUGUGAGCUUGACGCCCUGGUGUCAGUGCCUUCUUGCCAAUCGUCCCCCGUUCGUAGCUUAGUAUAGGUUACCGAUGAAGAAACUAGACGCAUCGCUGCAGCCUUUUGUUCAAUAGCUCUCAGGCAUUUCGUCAAACAUCACGCCGGCCACUGCCUCGAACGCGCCAGGCGCCACCACUCGAGUCUCGAGAGAUGUAGCAGCACCUGGUAGCACACGUCCACAACCUCCACCUCCCCUACCAUUAACGGUGCGGUGCCGCGCCGACCGAACCCAGCUCCGGCCGCGGCGGCGCCCGGCAAGUCAACCGCCAAGGCGAAAGCAUUGCGACAGCAACGGCACGGGAUCAUUCAACAACAAAAAGGACAGACAGACUCACAGAAACAGACACACGAGCCGAUAAAAUCUUGGCCCAUUAUGUGCCGGGCCGGGUUCACAAAGAUUUGGUGGGCUGUAACAGGAGAGGCCCAGGAACUCCCAACGGCUAGUUCGCCCAAACGGCUAGCUCUCCAACGGUCGGACGACCCCCCAAGCAGAUUCAUAUAGAGAUCUCCUGCGGAAUCCAAUGCCGCCUGCUACCAGCGUACUGCCACCACUCCUCCGCUUUCCCGUCAUCUCCCUCCCUGUUGCUCUGCUGCACAGCAAUCGCCUCGUUUCAUAAUAAUAAUAAGGGGAAGUGAGGAGGAGAUUGAGGCGAAGAUGAUGCAGCAGAUGCAGCAGGAGCCGUGGAACGCCGCCGCCGUGGGGCUCCUCCGGCCGACCAAGUCGGCGCCCUGCUCGCCAAUCAAGCCGGCGGCGGCGGCGGCCAUGCUGCGAACCCACUCCGACUCCUUCCACGUCGCGCACAAGGUGCCCGUCGGCGACACGCCGUACGUGCGAGCCAAGCGCGUCCAGGUACGUGUAUGCGCGCGUGCGUUUCUUUAUUUCUUCCCGGGGAUGAUGGGUUCGAUUCGAUUCGAUCUGAUUUGGGUUUCCUCUGCGGCGGCGGUGCAGCUGGUGGACAAGGAUCCGGAGAAGGCGAUCGCGCUGUUCUGGAGUGCGAUCAAUGCCGGCGACCGCGUCGACAGCGCGCUCAAGGACAUGGCCAUCGUGAUGAAGCAGCAGAACCGCGCCGAGGAGGCCAUCGAGGCCAUCAAGUCGCUGCGCAGCCGGUGCUCCGACCAGGCGCAGGAGUCCCUCGACAACAUCCUCCUCGAUCUCUACAAGGUUCGUCGUGCUCGUCCUUCUUCGCCUCCCACGCGUCGACUACCUUUUGUGCACGUAUGUGUUCGAUUGAUGCCUCUGAGAGACGGUACUGAAUCUAAGUGCGUUCUUUGCUGUUGUCCUGAUGCGCAGAGAUGCGGGCGGCUGGACGACCAGAUCUCGCUGCUCAAGCACAAGCUGCAGCUGAUCCACCAGGGCCACGCCUUCAACGGCAAGCGGACCAAAACGGCUCGCUCUCAGGGCCGCAAGUUCCAGGUCACCCUCGAGCAAGAAGCCACCAGGCUCCUUGUAAGUGCACGCAUUUCUCAUAAUUUCUUGCUGAACAAAGCUGAAAUCCAACUCAAAUACUUGGUCACUCCAGGCCUCCAGCUUCAAAUUCAUACCUUCAACUCAAGUGCUCAAUCUUUGUUCGCUGCUGAUCAGUCUUGCCAUUGUUACUGUGCAGGGUAACCUGGGAUGGGCGCUGAUGCAGAAGGAGAACUACACGGAGGCGGAGGGGGCGUACCGUCGGGCGCUGCUUAUCGGGCCGGACAACAACAAGAUGUGCAAUCUGGGCAUCUGCCUCAUGAAGCAGGGCCGCGUGCUCGAGGCCAAGGAUGUGCUCAAGCAGGUACGCCCCGCGGCGGUCGACGGUCUGCGCGGCGCCGACUCCCACCUCAAGGCCUACGAGCGCGCGCAAGAGAUGCUGCGGGACCUCGAGACCAAGCUCGUCGGCCGCCCGCGCGCUGACCAGCUCGACACGAACUGGCUCUUCGAUGCACUGCUGCUGGGAUCGUCCUCGAGCAUCUGGCAGCCGCAGCCGUGCAUCGACCACUUGCUGCCACCUCCGGCUCCGGCUCCGGCUUCGGCUCCAGCACCAGCCCCGGCGCCGCGCGACCGCUUCGCCGAUGAAAACGCCAGUGUCAGCAAGAAGCUGGCGGCGCUCCAGGCGAACAUGCUUAAUGUGGACGCGCAGCCCUUCUACUCUCUGCGAGUGCCGCCGCUUGCAGCGAAGCCUCAUAACACGCUGCCUCAGCAGCAGCCGCAGCAGAAACCACAUAACACGCUGUCUCAGCAGCAGCAGCAGCAGAAGCCAGCUCCUGCCCAUGAUCCCUUGGGCAACCUGAAGAGGACACGGUCCGGCAAUUGCAUGGACAAGGCAGGAGCAGUGGUGGACAAGGAGCAGGAGCAGAGCAUCGACGAGAACAGCGGCAGGAGGAAGUCGCUCUCUGCUGAGGACAGAUGGCCAGAGCUGCCCGACCACAGCGCGUUCGACGAGGCCAUCGUCGCGGCUGUCCUGGGCCCAGUGCUCGACGACGAACCAGCAGCUGCUGAAGGGAACGGCCAUGGCAAGCUGCCGACGAGCUGCGACACGAGCCCAGCGGUGAAGGAAAAGAUCGGCAAGAGGCUGAGGAUCUUCCAGGACAUCACACAGACAGUGAACAAUUUCUGAUUCGUUUCGGUUUUGUUACUCACAACAGGCAGGCUUGAGGUGGCGAUACAGAGAAGGAGAAAGGGCUUGUUCUCCUGGGAGCUCCUGCCUGGCAACUAAAUUAAUCAGGGAUUCAAUUCGAUUUUAAUUUUAAUCAGGGAUUUAAUUAACACACCAAAAUAACAGCUGAUUCUUUUGUUCGCUUCUUCAGCUUGACACUUUAGGAAGCGUGUUCUUCCUUUGCCACAAGGCUCUCCUUGAAAUAGAAGUGGACUGCAUCUUGUUCUAAUUUCGUUUCUUUUGAAAUAACAAAGUUCAUUUGUGCUUAUCCGGCGACUCAUCUGCUGUUUUGACUUUCACUGCAAUCGUGUAUGCAUUCUUCCUGUUCUUCGUCUGUGAAAUUACGGAGCAAUUAUUCAAACAUUGGAAUUGGAAAUUGAUCCGAAACAUUCGAAUUGAAAUCCACGGCCUCUCAUUACGGGCCUGUUUAGUUCCCAAGUAAUGCAAAAACUUUACAACCUAAAUCUUUUUACCAUAAAUUUUACAAAUGCAAACUUUUACAGGUUUAUGUUUAGAUGCAUGCCAAAUCAUGAACGCCACCCAAGGAGAGUUUACACAAUUUUGGGUCUCCAAACUCCCAAAAAUAAAAAGUUUACAGGUCUUUUUUU
rnacentral:lncRNA from 1 species